rnacentral:lncRNA from 1 species
GGAGAGGGUGGAAAUGGAUGGGUUGAAACUGAGUGAAAUAAAAAAAAAGUGUCUUUUGUGAUUUACAGUCUGAGCUGGGAAUGGACAGAAGAGAGCCUUCUGGGCUCGGGCUAGGAGAAGGGAAUCCAAUAUUUUUUUUCAAAUGACAGAUGCAGCAGCUAGACCAGGUUAUAUUGUAGCUGUCGCUCAUAUUUGACGCAAGUGUGGACGUGGUUGAGUUGGUCAGCGCUCUUUGCAUCCCGCUCCAGGUCCUGCCUUCGACUCACUGAAGCGUCACCUCCACAUCCCUGGUUUGUUCAUUUUUUUUCUUAUUUCGUUUUGGUUUUUUUUUUGUCUUGAUUUUUUUUUUCCUGUUUCUGUUUUAUGUUCUUUUCUUUUCUUUUUCUUUUUUAUUAUUAUUUAUUUUUCUCUCCUCAUUACUUCUUUAGUUGUUUCCUUUGUUUAUUUUCCACACCUUGGGGACAAAGUGUGCUUUAAGUUUGGGGGUGGGAACGUAAAUUUUUUAUUUUUCAUUUUUUGAGUCUUGUUUACAAAUUUUCGUUUUUUUUUUCAGUCAAUAUCCAUAGAUUAUUUUAAACGUUAGAACAAAUGGACAUGGUGAAAAUCAAUCCCACAGUAGAGUCUUUUCUAUUUAUUGUUGCUUAGACACUAAUUCAUGAAUUAUACUUUGAAAUUUGCACAUCACACCAACAUGGUUUUUGGGGAAUGAGAUUGGAAUACUUACUUUUUGUCCAAGUGUGUUUUAAUUUCUGUUCAAUAUAAAUAAAGUUAGUAUGUGUUAUAAAGUAAUAAUUGCCUCACCCGAAACUUUGCUAGUAACCGAGCCAGUCCUGCCUAAUCAGCAGUGAUUCUCGAGACAAAAGGUAGAGUUUUGGCAUGAGGCAGGGUGGUUAGUUGGUUUCGUAGCCUUUUCAGCUUGAGUUAAUAAGUCCUUAGGGGUGUUCUACACCUAGUGCCCUAAAACCCGAGUGGUUUGGGAGACAUUGACCUAAGUCUCGCUACACGGUUGGAUCGAAAGCUUAAAGGAACCAACAUUGCACAACCACUACUGUUACUAUUUAUACACCAAAAAAAAAAAAAAAAAGAAGAAAAAAAAAAAGAAGAAGAAAGGGAAAAUAAAAAGUGUGGAGUGUGUGAAGUAUGAAUAAAAGGGAUGAGUGGUAAGGGUUUUAGUCAAGUCUCCAUAACCAUGAUGGUUCACUUUACACCGAAGGAAGUUUGUGAAUUCUUUUCUAAUUGAGUCUAAAUAGCUCAGACUCUGUGGUGGGAUUACUUGGAUCUAUUGAAAGGAUGUUCUAGUUUUUAAAAUUUUCUAUGGAUUGCAACUUGAAGAUGGAAAUUUUGUCCUGGUUAAGUGUUAGCCAGAUGUCUAGUCUGUUAAGUUUUUAUUUUUUGUUUGAGUCUUGUUUCGCUUGAGGACAAGCAAAAGCUAAGUUUGGGGGUAUUUUGAUGGACAUAUUUUAUAUUAUAUAUUUAACCUCAUUCUUAGUAUAUUUUGGUUAAUAUUUUGGAAGAAUUUUGAUACUUUGAAUUAUAUUUUCAAUAUAGGACUUUCGACUCUCUCUGGAGCAAAACAUAAUCAAAUUGAGGAAUUUUGGAGUAAUUCCAGUUGGAGGACGUUCUUGAGUCACUUAGCUUGAUCGUAUCAAAAUUUCAGAUUUUUCUUCCAAGCGGUUAUUUUCUGGCAAUAAAAUAAAGGAGCAGUGCGCGGUGCUGGAAUAGUGACGUGUUGGGCUUUUAUUGCGUUUUUGGAGCCCAAGAUGACCUCGGAUGGGUUCGUGGCCUUCUAGAGAAGUGUUCAGAACAUUUUUAUCUUUAAAACAAGCUCUCUUGGGCCAGAUUUGGAGGAGAUUUGGGGCCAAAACGUGGCUGGGCAGAUUUUAGGCAGAUUCUCCUAUUCCAAUUUGGACUUUAUUUCCUAGUAUUAUUUUAUUUUAAUUAGUUUCCUUGUGGGGAUAGAAAAGUUGUACAUUGGCAGCUAGGUUUUAAGGGGUAUUUAAGCUCUUUCUCACAGGGAAUUGAGGACUUCUGAAUUACUUUUGAACUUUGUAUUGUGGAGAGCAAUUGCUAGGGUUUUGGGUUUUCACAACUUUCAGGUGUUUUCGUUCUUUUCUUCUUAAUGAUAUUUUCUUGGAUUUCAAUUAUGAGUAUGCGUAACUAAAUUUCUUUUGCUAGGGUGAAGCCUUGAACCUUAGCAUGAAUAUGUGAUUUUUAUUUAAUUGCUUAUGAUGAGUGCAUGCGUAUUUUGAAUUGUUAAUCACUGUUUUAAACUAUCUAAUUGUCUUAAUGCCUGAUCACCAUUAGGAUCUUUAGAAAAGUAAUUGGAUGCAAUUUUGGUCGGAAGGUUCCCUGAAAUUGAUGCUAGCUUCUUGUGAUUAAUAAUUGUAAUUUCACUUAAGAUGAACACCACGUCUUAAGGGUUGCAUGGUUUUUCAAAGGGUUUUCACAAAACUUAAUGAGUCUUUCAUGUUCAGAUUUGAUCCGAACGUCCGGACGGGUUGCAUGUUGGAUAUACGUUCUGUGUUGGAGGUUCCAAGUAGAAUAUACAUUAGGAAAACCUAACCUUCAAAGUGGCAUGUGCAAAUCAUAAGUAAUUGGUAAAAGUUCAUAGAAUUGCUAGGUGAUGGUCAAACCCUAGUGUUUUUAUAAAUUGAUAUUCAAAACUCUUUCUCUCAAUCGUAUUUGUUUUUGUUUAAUAUUUGUUUUUUAGAAUCCACCAAAUUUAUAAUCAUCUUUCUUGACUUUUUAUUUUAAGUAGUAAUUGGAAUUUGUUUUUACAUAAAUUGCUAAUUAGUCCUUGAGGAAAACGACCUUGCAUGAGCAUCUAUACUACAAUAGCCUUGUAUUCUUGCAAGUAUUUUAUGUGAUUUUUAACAUUGUUUGCACAAGUACUAAAAAUCCUAUCAACCACUCUCUCUCUCUCUCUCUCAGUAAAGGUUACAGUUUUCAAUCUAGACAGUUGAUUAAGAAGGAAGGAAGGAAGAAGAAGAGAGGAAGAAAGGAAAAAAAAAAAGGGAUGGCCUAGGAAAUUGGGAAGGAAGAAGAAAAUAGGAAGAAAGAAAAGAAAAAAAGAAAAAAAGAAAAAAAAGAAAGGUGGGGAUGGGAAGGAAAGUAAGAAGAAAAGGAGAAAAAAGAGGAAAAAAGAGAAGAAAAGAUAAGAUAGUUUUAGCAAUCUUUAAUUAAAAUUAAAUAUUAGAAUUUUAUUUUUAUAAUUAAAAUUAAAUACUAAAAUAAUUAUUUUUUAGUCCGAUACAACACAAAACAUAGGUUUUCACCAUUUUUACAAUCCAGCUUUUUAGUCCGACGCAGCAUCAAACGUAAGUCAGUACUUAAUCCAGCUUAGGCCAAUUCGAGCUAAUCCAAGACAGUCCCAGGAUUUAGUCCAAUCCAUGACAGUCUGCCGUACCAAACGACCCCAAAAAAUUGUCUAAAUCCUUUCAGUGGCCUGGAAUGGAAAAAAAAGAAAAAAGAAAAAAAAGGAGGAUAUCGUAACUAUGGUAGUAGAAUGUCCCACUUGACAGCAGCACAAAUAUUGAGACUUUGGCCUCCUGGUUUCUCCUCAGUGGCUCAUUCAAGUCUCAUGGAAUUCCUUGUUCUACAAUCAUUUGUGAUCGUGAUCAUGUUUUCAUCAGUGAUUUUUGGAUGAAAUUUUUUGCUUUACAGGAUUCUAAGUUGUGCCUGAGUUCCAGAUACGAUCCACAAACGGAUGGGCAAACUGAAGUGGUUAAUAGAUGCCUGAAAACCUAUUUGAGAGGUUUUGUAGUUUUCAGCCUAAGCAAUGGCUAAAAAGGUUGCCUUAGGCUGAAUGGAGCUACAACACUUCCUAUCAUUCUUUUGCCAAAACUGCUCCUUGUGAGAUUGUUAUGGACAACCACCUCCUGCUCUUCUUGUGUAUGAAUCUUUCUGGAACUACAAUGCUUGAUGUAUUGCACAGAAGCUUACAUGCUAGGAAUCUGCUCAGGUUUGUUCCAUUUCAGCAUAUGUCCUUAUCCAACUAUUCAUUCCACAAGCUUGCCCCAUUUGAAAGUGUUAGCUCAGCUGCCAACACAACCGUAUGGACUAAAUUACAGGUCUUAAGAAGAACAAAUGAAUUGCACGUUAUGCAGUACGAAGAUAUGAGUCUCUUUACCGACAUGUAUCGAGAUCCUGCAGCUCAUAGCUAUACUUCCACCAAACAUGCCUUCUUCACCAUCAGUCUCAAGGACUGUUAGCCAAUGCGAGGUUUGUUUUCAGCACAAAGGUCUCUAAUCUGUUUAGUUCAAUAGUGAUUCUAAGUUUUUUUUUUCUUUCUAAUCUGAUUAUUUCAUUGGGACUGCUUGAAGACGCUUGUAAGUUCAUUCUGUAUCUAGAUUUAACUAUUUGUGCUAAGUAUCUAUUUAAUUAUGUAAACUCUAAGAAUUCGAUACGAAUUUGAUUUUCCUUUUCGAUUGUAUGAAGUAAAUAAAUGUUAAUGCAUAUGAUACCUUUCACUGAACAUAUUGGAAACUAAUAGGUCACACCUGAGAAAAAAAUGUUUUCGUUUCAAAUACAAAUCAAUCUCUUAUUAAACAGACAAAAUAAAAAACAAAAGGAAAAACGGAUCAGCUAGCGAUACAGACUACAAACUAGGUAGUCUGUACGCUAACUGAUCGCUAUAUGCCAGCCGAAUUUCCAAUGAGGGUUCAUAUUCCAAUAAAAAAUUAAAUUCAAUCCUGAGGAAACUAUUUGGCCAUAGACAGGGUUCUGGUUGAAACGCAAUCCAUAUCUGCAAAUUGAAUCUUCAAUUAGAGAUGCUUGAUGCCCAGCUAACCAACAUCAGCAGUAGAACGGCAACACAAGAUGAGCAAGUUCCAACUUCAGUAUUAUAGAAUAGACUCUACAGAAGCCUGAGCUACUAGAAGUCCAAGUCAGCUCCUAACUAAUCUUAUCUGAUGUCGAAGAAUCCUAAAUCCUUACUCUACUAUAUAAAGACAAGUCUCAUACUAGACAUUAUAAAGAGAAGUGCCAUACUGAUCCCUCCUCUCUUGCAUUUUCAUUCAAGGUUUAGUUUUUUUCAUCAAUAAUUGUUAUCAGGAUAACAUCCAAUGCAGCUUGCGAAAAACCUUUUUACUUUAAUGAUGAAAUAAAUAAAUAAAUCGACCGGACGACCUAAAAACAUCACGAAUACCACAGAAAGACACCCCUGCUUUUUCUGCUAAACAGCAAUCCAUAUUUCCAUCUGUUUUUAUUUUUAUUUAUUUUUUCUUUCUACCUACCCUGUGACCAUUUUUGGUUUGGACCACUGGAUCUGGAUAAUAACACAUGUGGUUUGAACCUCUGAGCUUAACAUCUGAAUCUCCGUGAACAAUAUCCAACUUCUAUCUUUGCAUCUGCGCAUCUCAGCUUCAAUCUGUUGAAAACUAUUUAUAUAGUCAGCCCUUCUCUUUCUGCAGUGUAUAAGCGCACACACCCACAAAUACACAAUAACAGAAACCCAUCAAACAUAAACUUCUUUUAAAUGACAAGAACAACAUCAACUAUUUGAAUUUAACACUUCUCUAUCAACACAGUUGAACAAGUUGACAAAAGAUAGUCUGGAAGAGAGAAAAGAUAUAGGAAGACAUAUAUAAAUAAAGUAACCGAUGAACGUUUUUUUGGUAAAAUUUUGGAUAUACUUUUCUUUCGAAGAAUAUUAUUUGAAAAUAUUAUCUCUCAGAUCUCGCCCCAAAAGAAUUGCCAAAACAUCAUUCCAGUAUUAAGUCAAGGAACAGAACAACAAAUAGCAUAGAGAAUCAUGGAUUUCCUCGGAAUUGUUUUUAAAAUAGAAAAUGCACAAGUUUGCAAUCCUUAACUUUUAGGAAGUAAAGGUUAAUUGUCCUUUUUCCCUUUUGGGUGAUGAAAGCUCUAUCAUUCUCUCUCGUGCAACCAUGAAUGUAUUUGAGAAACCAGUUUAUCCAAAUUUCAUGUCAAAAUACUCACAUGAAAAGUAGGCCGCAGUACAAGUUUACCUCUCAGGAGUAGUUUUCUAGAGUUUUAUCCAAACUGUUCUUAAUAAUGCUAACCAGUUACCCUGCCAAAAGUAACAGAUAGAUUUCAAAAAUUGUUUCCAAAAUAUGAAAAAGACGAAGAGAAAAAAUAAAACAGAUGUUCUUUCAGUAACAUUCCAAGAGCAUCAGUUCAUUUAACGACGCAAAGAAAAUACAUUAACACUAUCACAAAAUAGAAAAAGGGAAAUCUAUUAAAUCAGUUGGAAUAAGAACAGAAACUCACAUUGGGCCCAUCAACUGAAGAAACCAGUGUGGCUGACAGUUGACUUUGAGAAAAUGUUUCUGGACUUGUCCAGUCAUACAUGAUUAUUGCAAGUUGUUUGUUUACUACAACUAGUGCCUUCCCAUCAUACACACAGGCAGAACCACUUUCAGUCUAGCAAUGCAAAGCAGUUGCAGGCUAGUUAGUCAACUUUCAUUCAGAUUCAACAUUACACUUCAAUAUUAAUAAUCUCUGCUUGGUAGAGCAGGCUUAACAGCCCAAAAAAACUGUGUUUACAUAAUAUGGCUAAAGGGGGCCUCUUUCAUGGUGCUGACCAAUAUGCCAAUCCAACUAGGAUAGUUCUCUAGGUUAUGUCAUUUUCGGAACCAAAAGCAUAGCCUGUUUCUAAUGCAAUAUUCGAGCCACUCGAAUUUUCCACCAAAGCUUCCUUGCUUCGUUUGUAAACCCUGAACUAUAAAGACCAUCAAAGACAGCCCGUUGGGUAGCCUUGGGUAUUUUCUUCCCAUGUCUUAAACAUUUCAUCAUAAGCUUGGAUGCCAAUCGAAACCUUCCAGCCUUGCAAAGAUUGUGCACCAAGGAGGUGUAGGUAAAUGAAUCUUUAGUCUCCAUUGAUUUGUACAAUUCCAUUGCACGAUCGAUUUGACCAGCUUUACAUAAGCCAUCAAUCAUGCAGUUGAGGGCAACCAAGUUUUCAUGGAAGCCCAUCAUUUUCAUAUAAUGUAAAUGUUUUUGAGCCCCGCUAAUAUUACCGGCCUUACACAAUCCAUCAAUUAUAAUUGUGUGGGUAUACUUGUCGCACAGCAGACCUCCAUUCUCCAUUUCAUCCAACAGCUUAUAGGCAGCUUCAAACUUACCUUCUCUACAAUACAUGUUGAGUAAGGUGUUGUAAGCUACUAAAUCAAGUUCAACGCCGUUCCUUAUUGUCUGUUCCAUGCAAGCAUUUGCCUCUUCUAUCCUCCCAGUCUUAACCAAAGCAGCAACGACUGUGCAGCAUGCAUAGCCAUCAAAAGUAUACCCUUUACCCAUCAUAACUGACAUAAUCUCAAGCCCUUUGUCAUACUUGUUGGACCUAAAGCAGCAUUUCAUAACUGUAGUGUAGGUUAUGAGACUUGGCUCAUGGCCUGAUUCCCCAAGUUCCUUUAGAAUUCUCCUUGCUUGUCUCAAUCUGCGUGUCUUGCAUAGCCAGUUGAUAAGAAUAUUGUAUGUCACCAAUUGGGGAACAAAUCCAUGGCGUUGCAAAUUCCUAUAUAACAUAAGGGCAUUAUCGAUGUAUCCAUUGUUACAAAGGCCAUUAAUCAUUAUGUUAAGCGUAGCUGGGUGGGGAGUAAGAUUGCUAAGUAAAAUAUCCUGAAAUACUUUGUUGGCUUCAUCAGGUUUUCCUAAUUUAAAGAAACAAUGCAUCAGAAUGUUGUAGCUCCAUAAAUUAGGAUGUACACCUGCUAGUAACAUUUCCUCAAACAAAUCCAGGGAUCGUGACAAUAAGCAAUUCUGGGUCGCCCCGGACAUCAAAGAAUUGUAAGUAAUGACAUUUGGACUUAUCCCAGCUUCUUUCAUUCUAUGAAUAACAGAAUAAGCUGCAUCUAAGCUAACAAACCGAGAAUAGGCACUAACCAAAGUAUUGUAAGUUACCACAUCUGGAAUCAACCCUAAUCUUAUACCGUCAAUUACAAUGGCUUCUGCUUUCUCCAAUAGCCGGACUUUACAAAAUGAAGCUAUGCAUAUGUUCAACAGCUUAGUCGAUAAUCCACCAACCAUCAUUUACAUCAUCACACAUAAUGACUUCCUACGAGAAACCCAAGCCAAGCCUACAAUAUCCCAAAAUACAAUAAACUCGUUUUUUUUUUGUCAGUGAAACAACACAAGAGUGUUAUCAAAUCAAAUGAUGUGAAUCCCGAAAUCCCUAAAUUCUAGCUUAGCUGAAUCCCUAAAUAUGAAGUUAGGAACAAAAUCAGAAAUUAAAUGACAACACGAGGAGGCUAGGAGCUCACCAGGUCCCGUGGAGUAUGGAGACUACUGACGGAGAAACAAGAAGAAACAGACGAGAGGAGGCUGGACCCUGGAAAUGGAGCGGCUGCUGCUGCAACCUGCAAGAUGGGGCACUGUCGGGUCGGGUCGGGCUUGGUGCAACCUACUCUACUGGGGGUAAGUUUUAGGGUGGUUUUUUCAACAUUUUUUUUAUUUAAUUUAGAGAAUUAAAAAUAUGGAUCCCGUGGAUGACAUGUGGAUACUAAAAUAAAUACACUAAUGACAUGACCCAAGAGACUUCUCCAAACGUAUCUAGUGCCUGCCUCUCCCUCCAUCUCCUACGAUCUCAUCUCUCUUACCUCUCCUUUUUCCGACGGCUUCUUCUUCCUCACCUCACUUCUCCGACGGCUGCAUCUUCCUACCUUUUACUCUCGCAUUUCGUUUUCUCAAUCCCAAAUCCUUGCCCCUUAUCUCUCCUCUUCUCACUGUUCCUUCUCAAUCUUCAAUCUUCGCAACUCAGCUACUACUUCAUCAGUCGCUUCUGGUACACCCAAAUUCAGCUCCUUUUUCGCUCUCUCUUGCUCUUCUUCAAGACUUGAACGCAAGCACACACGAACGCACAUAUGUAUAUGCACUAAUUUCUGUGUUCUGCUUCUUCAGUGUACUGUGGCAGCAGAAUAACAAAAUUGAAAGAGGCAAGCUUUUCUUUCACACUAAUGGCAAUGUAAGUAUCGUUUCAUCAUUUUUGCUUAUUGAUUUCUAUACAUUAUUAUUUUUGCGACUUAUACGUAGUUGUAGUCUUGUGCUGUUGUUCUGUUCGUAGGUUUCGAAUUUCUGAUAAUAUGGGUAUGAUUUUUAAUAGAUUGUGAGAUUUAAUGGAUCUUCUGGUUGUGCUAAUUUCUGAGUGAGGGAUUUGGGUUGGUAUGUUGGGUUAUGAAUUUGUUUGGAGGGUGAAGGGGAAAACUAUGUAUUCACAUGUUUAACUCAAAUUGUGACAAGGCUGUGGAUUUUCUGAAAAAGGUGGUUUCUUCAUAAAUCAGCACUUCCCUUUGUUUAUCUGUUCUAUUUAUUGCCUAUUUUCGCAUAUCAUUCUUUUCCCUUCUGCGUCUUCUAAGCUGACUUUUCAUAGUGCACUUACUGAGAAUAAAACAUUUAAGGAUAAUUCUUUUUUGCAUUUUUUUCAAUUUGCAGUGCAGCUGUUUAUUAGUGUCUUUUAUUUCUUGGCUGGUACUACGUUCUUUUUAAUGUUGUUGGUUCUGUUUCUGAGUGCUCUAGUUCUUUACUCAGUGGAUAUCUUGUCCAUUGUUUUGUAGUUUUCCUAAGCUGACUUUUCAUAGUGCACUUACUUAGCAUAAAACGUUUAAGGAUAAUUCCUUUUUGCAUUUUUUUCAAUUUGUAGUGCAGCUGUUGUUGGUUCUGUUUCGGAGUUCUCUAGUUCUUUACUCUGUGGAUGUCUUGUCCAUUGUUUUGUAGUUUUCCUCUCUCCUUGUUGAAAAUGUGGUUCUUAUAUAAUAAAUUGAGGUAUGGUAUCUAGUUAAGAAAUUGAUCACCUUACAACUAUAACAGUGUUGGGUUUUCCAGUCCAUCAUGAGUUUCCUAAGCUUAUGCCUUCUUUUUGUGGUCAUCUUGACCAGCUCUGUAUUUUAUUGUUAUAUGCAAUAAAAUUUUGUUCCUUUUUUCUUAAAAAAAAUAAAAUAAUAACUAAUAGUCUUGGAGGAUAUGAAUCCUAUUCUCAGGUUUUAUAAACAUGUUAUUCAGAUUCCUUUAUGAUUAGAAUUCCUAAUUGAUGAAGCCCACUAUUGUGGCUAUACAAGGAGAUCUGUUGUGCCAGUUCACAACAUUUAAACUGAAUAUCAGGUAUUUGAUGAAAUACUAAAUCUAUUACCUUGAUGCCUUUUUAAAUCUAUUAACUGGUGCUUCAUUUCGUCUUUUGGAUCUAGACAUGCUUCUUCUAUACUCUAAAAUAAUUGGAAGUAUGGAAUGAGAGAAAGAAAAACCAUUACAUAAGAGAAAAGGCAUAAGAAUAAUGGAAAUAGUUUCUAGAAAGAAAAAGAAUUAUAGAAGAUGCAUACAAAGACUCUGAAGCUUCUACCUUUAGUACUGAACCUUUCUCAGCUUCACCCAUUUGUGGGGAGGAAAAUUGGGUGGAGAGGGAGUUGGCUGGUGAUAUAGAACAGUAGAAGGAACGUAGGUGCUGCUGAUUUUAUUUUAUUUUAAAUAAAUUUUACAGACUCAUUUUUAAAGCUGUCCAAUUUUUUUAAAAUGAACUUGCUCUAUUUUAAUAUUUGUAUGCAGAUUUUUGUUCUUUUGGGGUUUUCGAAGUUUUCCAAAGGGUAGUUUUGACUUCAAAUUCAUAAAAGUGUAAAAUGAUACGCGAGUCAGUUGCUGUGCAUUUACUCAACAUGAUUUUUAUUUUAGAAUGGUCCGCGUUUUUACAAGCACAUUUGAAAUUGUGUUAUUGGUUACUUACAUUUUUUUGUUUUGUUUUUUCUUUCCUAAUAUGUUAUGAUUUUGAUUUUGUGUGUGCUUGUUAAGUUGAUGCUCCAUUAAGUAGAUUUUUCGACCAAAGAAAAUUUAAGUGGAUUUUCAGUUAUUAUGGUAGCAUGCUUUUAUUUUGUUUUGUUUUCUCAUGGUACUGCUUUUUUUGCAUGUCAGUGGAUCUAACAAUAACAAGGUCUACAAUAACUCUACAUUGGAGCAAUAAUUAGCUUAAAGUCUCAUCAGAAGCUACAAUGAAUGAGAUAUGAAGUUGGAUGUUUUUGUCUUCAUCGGGUGUCUUUACCAGCCUCUUCUCUGACACCAAGGCAUUGUAUUAUGCUUGGAGGGUUAACUUCCUUUUACAGCUGGAACAAAAGCCUUUAUUAGCUGCCAUUUUCCUAUUGGAAUGGUAGUUCUUGUCUUACGUUUCGUAUAGUUGCACAAUGGAUGACCUCAUUAGCUUGGAUGUCGGAACUAUACCAAAGUAAAGUGGUGCAAUAACUCAAAGCACAAACUGCACUCUUGAACUAAAAGCCAACUGACUUGAUGGGUAAGGAAAACUUAUCGGAAGCUAGCAUCGGAGCUAGUGAGGAAGGUGACUCACCUGGACAGAGUGAUUCUUUAGGUACUCACUCACGCCAUAGUCUUGACAAUGAGGCCGGCUUAUCAACUUGUCGCGUGUGCCAAUGUGCUGAAUCUGACAAAAGGGGAGAUGCAGCUUUAGAGUUUUUGGGUAUCACUCCUCCUACACAAGAAACAUGUAUAAGCCAUGGGCAAGUAAAGCCUGAUAGCAGGGUAGCCCUUAAAGAUGCUGAAGGUGAUAUGUAUGUCAAGAAAAAUGCUGGAAAAGAAUCUGGGUUUUUGGAGUUUAUAAGCCCUGAUGGAGAGGUUUUCAUUUGUGGUGCUGAUUUAGAGACAGGUUCAUGUCACCAUGAAGACACAUUAGUUGAGCUUGGUUGCUCUUGCAAAAAUGACCUUGCUUUGGUACACUAUGCGUGUGCACUCAAAUGGUUUAUCAACCAUGGGUCCACUGUUUGUGAAAUCUGUGGACGUCUAGCAAAAAAUAUCAGAAUUUCAGACUUCAAAAAGGUUAUGAUUUCCUUGAAGGAGUAUGAAAUAUUGAGGGAAAGAACAGCUAGGGGGGAACCGGAUGCCACACAGGUUAAUACAAGUACAGGUAUAGAUCCUGAUGCUGUAGCUGCUAUCAGAAGGCAAAGACUGAGUGAGAUUUCACUAUGGUUUACCCCGCAUAAUAAUAGUAACAAUAAUAACAAUACAAGUACCAAUUCUGUUUCAAUUUCACAAGCUGUAUCAGAACAACCUCAGAAUACUGUUGUUGCCCCUGCUGAAAAUCCUGCAACCAAGUGGGCUGUGGAAGGUACCGGGAUUCUGCUUGCUACAGGGCUGCUUACUGUUACUCUUGCAUGGCUUAUAGCUCCUCGUGUUGGGAAGGUAUGUCAAAAUUGGUGUCAUUCAGCUUAUUAAAAAAAGGGUACAGAUUGGAAAAUAUUUCUUCAACAUCCUGCAAGUUUUGUGGGGAAACUUAAUUUAUUUGUCUAUUGACUUAUCUUUACAUGCUGGUAAAAUUCAAAACUUUUCACAAACAUGAGCUGACUGACCUUCCAAAUUGCAUGCGAGGGACCAGAAGGAGAAAGAUUUAAUACUCCCAUCACUUUUCUUCUGCCACAGUAUGCAUGACUUUUGAAGCUAAAAAUGGAUCUUUGCUAUAAUCCCCAUGCACUCCAUCUUUUCUUCUCUGGUUCUUUUUUCCUUUCUGUCUCCUUCGAUGACCCAUCAUCUGGAUUAAGAAGUCCAACCACCUCCUUGUCACCUAACACCUGCUUGUUCCACUAUUUCAAGUCCUUUUGAGAGCUUGAAGCUUGUUUUCGAAAACAAAGGCAUGGUUAAAGCACAAGAUUAUAACCCCCUCUGUGAACCUCUGAUCUCUCCACAAAACCUUAAGAGUUAAUUCACAUAUUCAAUCAAAUUAAAUUGUGCCUUACCCUUGUGUAAGCCCCCACAAUCUAACAAGUGUGGCCAGUGAUUUGAAAUGGUUGUUCGAAGCAAGCUUAUCGAAACAUCUGGGAAGGGCUCCUUGUCCAUAGAAAAUAAAGGAUUCACUCUUAACAUUGACAGUAACUCUUGAUUAUUGGACCUUGUGUAAUCAACUCCCACUAGCAGCACAUACAUCAGAGCGCUGAACUCCACGAAAUUCCCUAACUUUUUGACUGAAAUCUGAUCAGCUAAUAUCCCCUCGCAUCCCCCAAGCUUCAUAACAUAUUUCUCUAGACAGAACAUAUAAAGAAACCCAACCAUCCAAACAUUGAAGUAUACAUUAGAUUGAUAACCUACUCUCAUGUCCUUCACCUUCCUAAACAUCCUCAUACCCAAUGAAGUAAAGGGCCCUUGCUUGCCAAUACCUGACAUGUAAUUCAGAAAAACAACUUUCCUAUAAACUCUGUAUGAAAGGACGAAAGAUGUACUCACCUUAAUUUUUGAAAGCGGACAACAUCAACAUGCCAACCCUUUUACCAAAUUUUUAAUAAUCAAAGUGUUUCGUAGGUCAUUCACAUUUUGGACAUGUGAAGAUAAAGUUCUUGUCUUCAUCUCGAAUCAAAGCAUGGGAUUUGAAUCAACAUCCUCAUAUUUGCCUAUUGAGGCCAUUUUUUUAUCACAUCAAGUUAUGCAAUGCUUUUCUGUCCUAUAUUUCUGAUGAACUCUAGUUGGGUGUGCAGAAAACUGCCAGCAGCGGUCUUCAUAUUCUCCUGGGAGGAAUUUGUGCUUUAACAGUAGUGGUUUUCUUCCGCUUUGUAAGUAACUUAUAUCUCUCCUUCAUUUAUCAUGCGUGUUUACAUUGUAUUUGAUUGAUUUUCAUUGGCUCAUACUAUGGCUACAUUAGGAUUUAAUAUGGUUGGGUUAAUUCAAUGUUUUCCAGUAUAUAUGAUUUUAUUAAUUAAUGGAUAUUCAUGGAGAUACUGAUGUAGAACAACCAACGAGAAAGGAUCUUAGAAGAUAAAAGGAAUUAGGUUCAAGAGAAGAGGAAUAAAUUGACAGAACAAGGGGAGAAUUAGAAACAGAACUUAUAGAUCUUUGAAGAGAAGACACAGGGAGGGAUACUUAAGGAGAAAAUCUGUUUUUCAGUCAUUUAAGUCUGCCUCAAUUGAAUUACAAAGCAUGCAUUUAUAAUGACCUAAUUUUGGUAGAAACAGGAAAGUAAUAAGAACUGGAAGCUAACAAAUAGUUUAGGAAACUCAAUUAGAAUAACCCUAUUUCAACUCUCUAACUCAUUCUGCAUUUGAUACCAUAAGCUAAGGGUGUGGGAGAGUUGGUUGAGAGAUUUAUAUAAAAUUUUAUAUAUAAAAAAGGCUUAAUUAUCGAUGUGCCCCCCUGUGCUUCACCGAAAAUCUCACUUUGCCCCCCUACACUUCAAACUGAGUCAAUAUGCCUCAUGUGCUUUAUUUUUGUGUCCCCCGUUACCCCCCUUCCGUCAGUUUGGUCAGUAAAACUGUUAACUUGCUUACGUGGCAUGAGUAUUUUAGAUAUUUUAGUUUUAAAAAAUUUUCAAAUUUUAAAUUAAAUUUUUAAAAAACUGUUUAAAACAUUUUAAUAAUUAGAAAGUUCUUUUAAAAAAAAUUUAAAGCCCUUGGUACCCGAAUAGCCCCACCACCACAACAACCCAACCCGUCUCCACUGCCACUCGCUGCCCUCAACCUAUGGCCACCACUCCACCAUUGUUCAAAUAUGAUACCCCACCCAGGUGAUGCACCCACCCCAAACCAUUAAUAACAAUCAAUCCCAACCCACCUAGCCACUUUCAACCCCAGCCAUACUCACCCCGAGCUGACACCCCAAAUCCACAGCCAACCUCACAAAUCCAAUCUGCCACAAGCUGUAGCCAUCCCAACAAAUUACCCGAACGCCAAUACCCCAAGGCGCAAGAACUUCUAUUAUCUUCUCCAACUGGGUUUGAUUUGAUUUCAUGCUUGUCAUUUUCACAUAUUCUCUGUGCAGCCAUGAGGGUUAUGCGAUUGGAGUUUACAAACAUUAAACUCAUUUUGAAGAAAUUUAUUUUGUUUAUUAUUUUUUUACCAUGGCGGAGGAGAAAUCAGGAUGGCAAGAUGGGGAGGGAAUGGUAAGCAUGGGUUGGGGGUGGUUGUUGGCGAUGGGGAAGGAUUGGGUUGUGGUGGUGGGGUUCUAUUCGGGUGCUGGGGGAUUUAUUUUUUCCCUCUUUUCUAAUUUAUUUUAUUAUUAAAAUGUUUUUAAACUGUUUUAAAAUUUUGAGAAUUUUUAAUAGUUAAAAUUACUAAAAUACCCAUACCACGUCAGCAAGUUAACGAUUUUAGUGACCAAACUAACGGAAUGAGGUAACGGGGAAUGCAAAAAUAAAGCACAAGGGGCAUAUUGACUCAGUCUGAAGUGUAAGGGGCAAAGUGAGAUUUUCGGUGAAGCACAGGGGGCAUAUCGAUAAUUAAGCCUAAAAAAAUUAUAUUCACAAAUUUGAGUAAGAUAAAUAUAAAAAUGCUUUCUUGGUAAAGUACUCUCCUUAAUUGAACCGCACCACUAUAAAAUAAAGAAAAUCACAAAUUUGAUUUUCACAGUAAACUCAUAAAAUAUAAAAGGCUAUAAUCAAGGUUGCUGCACUUUGUGUGCAUGUGUGUCUGGAUGCCCUUUAGUUUACAUAGAUAGGAUUGCAGAUGACCUGUUGAUUGAUAAUGAUUUUCUCUUUGGAUUUUAUUUUGUAUGCACGCAUGCAUAAAUGCAUGUCCUAAAUGUUAGCAGUAGCAAACUGAAAACAACUUUGCCAACUUCCUUUGGCAACCUGAAACUAUUAUGUACCUACUCAAGAGAAAAGAAUGAAAUAAUAUGCUCAAGAUAUGCUGCACCUUUGUUCUGUUCUCUGAAACUGUAAGUAGACUGACUGUUAUUUUAUCUUUUGCGUGAGGGGAGAUGGUUGGUGGGUGGGAUGUUGGUUUAUGUUGUUUCAUCUCCAUCCUGUAUUCUUUAUCUUAUUGUAUAAAUUUUUAGUACCUUGAAAUAGAAGACGACCAAGCCAGCAAUUGCUGGGAUGCAAAAUUGUGGGCGGCUUUUAAUUGAUUUAAGACAUUUAGUUCGCAGAUUGGAAGUUUGGUUACUCCAUUCUGUUUCAACUAAAGAGAUGUAUUAAGAGAAGUUUUUCUAUGAACAAGCUUUGAGGAAAUUUUGAUUAUACACACGAAUUCGAGUGCAGUCAUAAUUUUAACUCACGAGUAUUAAGUAUGGACCGAAUGACAAUGAGAUGUAUAAAUCACCAUAAUAAUCUUCUAUUUGUUUCCUAUAUAAAAACAAUAAUAAUAUUUUUUCUUUUAAAUGUGACAGUUUGUGCUCACCAGAAUCAAGUAUGGACCUGCUCGCUACUGGGCAAUAUUAUUCGUCUUUUGGUUUCUUGUCUUUGGUAUUUGGGCUUCACGGACACACAGUUCUCAUACAACAUGAUUUAUAUAUAUAUAUAUAUAUAUAUAGUUUAUGCAUAUAAAUCCAUUAUUUUUUUCUUCUUGCAAAGAAACUCUACAGAACUUCAUUUAUAUUUCAGAGAUUAUUUGGUUGGCUGCCAUCGAUGGGAAAGUGUGGGUGAGCUAUAGAUGUAUUAAAUGCACUGUAGGAUGUGAAUAUACUGUGUAUUUUCCCUUUUCAAGAAGAAGAUAUUUGCAAUCACAUGAUGUGGCCAACAACCAACAACCAAAAAAGGGGGUUGCAUGAUAUAAUUGGCAGCAUUUUUAUGGUUUUUAUUCCUUUCGAAAUUCAUGUUACAUGUUAAUGGGUCAUUAUACCUCAGUUCAUGGAUUAUGCUCUUCUUUUGAAUAAAAUCAUUCAGGAAAAUUCACAGAUUGAUGAGCAUGGAAUUUUUGUGCUAAUCCGAUAUACGGUGGGCAUUUCCAUUGAUUUAAAUUGGCUGAACUGGAUCAACCAGUACAGUUUGAUAUGUGUCUUUCUUUUUUCCAAAAAUCUGGCGUUAAAUCAAACGCGAUCUAGUCUAUGAUUUAGAAUUUGGCGUUAAAUUGAAAGUUGUACUCAGUUGAGGGGAUUGUUGGCUCAACGUCGGUAUCUAGAAAGGACAUACCGACAUGGUCGGUGCAGGGAUUAGGGUCUGAUCCGGUUUGGUCGCCCAACCUUACUUACAUAUUUUUUAAAGCAAAAAGGAAGAAAAAAUACACUUUAUUACAUGCAGUGUAGUUUAUUUUUUGGGUUUGUACUACCAACCCAAGUAGCUGACAACUUUUUUAAUCACCCCAAAACCUUCAACAUACUUCACGAGCACAUAGGUUCAACAGAAAAUAUAACUGCAGGACCAACGGUAUUAAAGUGAAAGUGGAGUUGAGGGGCUAGCAUAACCAAUAAUUGAGUUAGACAACCAGGGGUCGUUUGGUACACAGGCUUGGCUUGGACUGGAUUGGACUAAAUUUAGUACCAUGUUUGUUUCAUUUAAUUCUAGUCUUAGAUGGGAUUGCUAAUACCGGGCCCACCAAAAAUACCUCACUAAGAGGGGACUACUAAACCCAUGUAGAAAGGGAGGAUUAGCUAGUCCUAUGUUCACCAAUAUAUAAGAUGCAUAUAUUAUAUUGUAAUAUUAAUAACAUAUAUUAUUAUUAUUAUUAUUACAUACACAUAUACUAUAAUGUACAUAUAUACAUGUAUAUACACAUAUACAUGUAUAUAUAUAAAUACAUAUAUACAUAUAUAAUAUAUAUAUAUAUAAAUACAUAUAGAUAUAUACACAUAUAUUAUUAUUAUAAUAUACUCAUAUACACAUACAUAUUAAUAUUAUAAUAAUACAUACAUGUAUACAUGUAUAUAUGUAAUAUAUACUAGCCUUUCUGCACGCGCUUCUGCGCUUGCGAGAGGUUUUUUAAAAAAAAUAAGUAAAUUUAUUUUAGAAUUAAAAAAGAUAAUGGGUAGUUGUGUUCCAUAAAAAAAGGAUACAUUAUCUGUUUUUUCUUUUUCUUUUAAUUUUUUUAAAUAUGAAAAAGUAUGAAUUUACCAUAUUAUCUUCAUUUAAUUAAUAAUUUGAAUUCUUAAUGUUUGCAUUAACCAAGGGCAUUUUCUGGUAUUUUGAAUGUUUCACCAUUCUCUGCCUUUUGCUUUAUAUAUAUAGAUUAUAUUAUAUAUUAAUGUACAUAUAUACACGUAUAUACAUAUAUAUAUAUAAACACAUAUAUACAUAUAUAAUAUAUAAAUACAUAUAGAUAUAUACACGUAUAUUAUUAUUAUAAUAUACUCAUAUACACAUACAUAUUAAUAUUAUAAUAAUAGCAUACAUGUAUAUAUGUAAUAUAUAUAAGUAUAUAUACAUAUCAGAGAGCUUCCAUUGAGGGAUCCCUCAAAUAAGCUUAUUUGAGGGACACCUCUUGUAGGCCCCACUCCGGAUUGUAUUUCACUAAUCCAAACCGUCUAUUUUGUAGAUACUCAUUCAAAGAUCAUCUCUACAAAAAAUCACUUGAAUCCGAUAUCAUGUGACCACUCAAUUGAUACAUAUAUAUGUAUAUGUAUUAUACCCAUGUAUAUAUUAUAAUAUAUAGAUACACCUAUAUACACAUAUAUUAUAUACAUGUAUAUACGUAUAUAUAUGUAUAUUAUAAUAUAUAAUAUAUAUACAUAUAUUAUAUAUACAUAUGUAUUUUAUAAUAUAUAUAAUGUAUAUGUAUAUAUAAAUACAUAUAUAAUAUACAUAUAUACACGUAUAUACAUGUAUAUUAUUAUUAUUAUAACAUACCCAUAUAUAUUAUAUAUUAUAUUAUACAUACAUAUAUAUAAAUAUAUGUAUAUGUAUUAUACCCAUGUAUAUUAUAAUAUACAUAGAUACACCUAUAUACACUUAUAUAUAUGUAUGUACGUUUAUAUUAUUUAAAAUAUAUAAUAUUAUUAUAAUAUACUUAUAUACAUGUAUAUAUAUAUAUUAUAUGUAUGUAUAUAUACAUAUAUAUAUAUAUUAUAAAAUACAUAUAUACAUAUAUAUAGAUAUUUUUGAAAAAAUAAAAAAAAUUCUAGUCCUAGUCCAAGCAUACACCAAACGCAGGAUAAGUGUUAUCCAACUUAGACCAAGCCAAGCCAAGCCAAACCAAUCCCUAAACAUAGUCCAUGCCAAGGCAGUCCUGUGUACCAAACGAGCCCCCAAAGUAUUGAUUGGGCCUAAAUUCAGCGACCAUUGCUCUAAAAAUCCUUGUUUAUAAUUUGGAAAAUUACAUGUGAACGAACAAUGAUAUUUCUAAAUUUGAGAUUUAAAAAAAACAAUGAUAUUUUAAAAUCGAAUACUGCGGACUAUUUACAUGAAAUAUUGACAUUCGCUAGCUGAGAGUGGAAGGGCCCCUGAUCUUUAUACAUUUUGAUACUAACAUUAAAACAAAUGCAGAUAAUUAGUCGCCGCAUUAUGAAAGUACCAGAAAAUAUUACCAGUGCAGACAGAUUUACCUUCUACAUAUCUUACUUAAUUUCCUACCAACUAAGGACAUACGUGUGCCCAGGUGUUGUGUUCAUUAUAAUUGACUAUGUAAUAGUGCGUGGAAAAGGGAUAAAGAAAAGGAAAACCCGACUUAGCGAUUUCUCGAUGACUUUGACAGAUUGGAUUGGAUUGAAUUGGAAUUAAAAAUAUAUGAAAACCAAUAUAAUCAGUUGAAGGAUUUCCCACUUCCAACAAAUCCAGUUGAGUUGAUUUCGUAAUGUUAUGCAUCUUAUAAGCAUUUGAAACAAUAGACCAAACUAUAAAUGACCUAAGCCUUUUUAUGCUUGUGCACAUUUUAAAACCAAAACAUUUUUGUUUUAAACUUUGAAUCUUCCUGAAAAAAAUGACCAUCCAAUUUGAUCCUAGCCAAACGACAUUGGAUUCAAUUGCAUUCCAAACUUAUAACAACACGCCAACAUUAGCUUCAAUUGAGUUUUGCCCAAAUUUAACAGUUUCAAAUUGCUUGACACCCCUAAAUUAACUUUCUCUAUCUCUCUAAACUUUCAUCUUACAUGUUUCUAUUUAUCUUUGAAUUCAUCUAUCCCUUUCUCUCACUUUCUCCCAAUCAUAAUUCUCUCUUCUGCGUCCUUUAAAUUCCCACAUUGUCCUGCAUUAACUGUUUACUGAAGACUCAUGGAUUGCACACAUGAUGGUGGAUUGUUUCACAGAUUUAUUUACUAUUGUAAGUUCUCUAAUAAGGAAAUAAUAACCAAGAACUAGAACCAUCACGAAGGUAUUUCUUUAAAGACAUCCAAAUUAUAGAAAUCAGUUCAAUGUCCUAGUACCUUAACCCAAUCAAGAAUGUCAACAACUGACCAAUUUGAGGGCCUUUAUAUCCUGAAGCAAUCAAAGAGAGAAACAAUGCUAUGCAGUAGAAAACAAUAUAUCACAGUGAUAUUUGUCAAUCAGACUUCCAGUCAAAAGCCUAUGGGAACACUACGAAAACAGUGGCACAUAUCACCAUUAUAAACCAAUACCAAAAGACUUUGGCCGAGAUUUGUUCUUACUUGACAACUUCAUCAGUUUUGCAUGUUCUUCUUCCUCUUCCUGCUUUUUUCUCCUUGCAGCCUCUUCUUUCUGUCUCUGAAUCAGCUCCAACUCUCGAUACCGUUCCUCUUCUUUGCUCUGCUGUUCCAAAGCUUCUCUUCUCUGAGCCUCUUCCACCCUCCUCCGAUUCUCCUCCAGCAUCUUAUCAAGCUCUUCUCUCUCUUUCCGAGCUUGUUCCUGAGUGAUGUAGGGAACCAUAUCAAAGGAUCAUAUAGAUCACAAAAAUGAUAACAUAACAUGUAAAAUAUAUAUAUAUAUAUAUAUAUGAGUGCAUAUGUAUUAGUAAAUGCACGUGGUUUAAUCAUAUGCACAGCACAAGAAACCAUCAGCUAUGACAACAAAAGGUAGAGAAACAGUGAUUGAACUAGACGCAACCUAACUGAGAGAAUGCGACCGCAUUGACGACAACGCCGAUGAUAUUUAAUCCAGUUUACUCAUUAAACAGUCACUAUUCUAGGGCAAAAAUUACCAAAGCUAAGAUGGAAUGCCACUUGUACUUGUAGCAUGGGGCUCAUCAUAGGCAGGUGAUUAUUGACCUGAACAGCCAUCUUGAUUAAUAAAUUCAUAUUUGUCAACCAUCUUUGGUAACAUGUGCAAUUUGGUCUUCAUAAUCUUCUUUUUUCAUGUUCUAGUGAAGCACAUUUGUUCCUUCAUUAAAAACAAAGACCAGUUUUAAAUUGGUUUUUGUUUUAAUUUUGUUUCACAUUUCUCCACCCCUCUCAACUCCUUCACCCAUCUACUCUUUCACAUCUUCCUUUGCUCCAUUUCCUCAAUUGAAAAAAAAAAAAAAAACAGAACAAAACAAAAGGACUACUAAUGCGACUAACUCAAAAAAAAAAAUUCAAUCAGUGAUCAAACCUCAAACAAAUAUUGCAAUAAACACAUUCACUUGACUUCAUUUCGUGUUCGUAUAUCAACCCAGAUGAAAGGGAUAAGAUAAUGGUCAGAAGCCAAGUUGCUUACUUCUUUCUGUCUUGCUUCAACAAGAGCAGCUUCCUUUUCUUUUUCAAGUUGAGCUUUAACAUCAUCAAACAAUUUCUUCUGACCUUCUUUUAUACGCCUCUCGAUUUCUAACUUAACUUCAUUAGAAGACAACCUCUCCUCCACAUUCUUCCGAAUCGCUUCCUCAAGUCUCAUUGCAGUCUCUUCUUCUAACUGUUUGAGUUCUGCCUCCUGUUGACGCCUGACAGAUAAUGGCACAUUCAAAAGACUUAAUAUACAGACCAUAGAAGAAAAAUGUGAGCAGCAAACAAAAUUCUCAUCAAAUCAUUGUAACAUGAUCAUACUCAUAUAUUAUACACUACCACAGAAAGCAUGCCUGACCAGUCACUAAGACACUAACAAUUGUUUAUGGAUUAGAAAAUGCUGGGCAGUAAAUAAAGUUACCUGAUUUUUUCUUCCUCCUCUUUCUUGAGUUUAUCAGCACCAUUUUUGCGUUCAGUUGAGGUUAGACGGGGCCCUGGAGACUUGGGUAAAGGAGGAGGAGACAAAGAGCUACUUCUACUCCUACUCCUGCUUCUGUGUCGUCUAUGUCGUCUGGGUGUCGGCGAACGACUCUUGCGCCGCCUGUAACUUGGCGAACGACUUCUCCGGCGACGUGGGGAGCCACUAGAACGAUUUCUUCUAUGUUUCCCAACAACAUUUGCGAUUACGAACAACCAAAUUUAAUUUAAUCCAAUUCAACCCAAUUUAUUCCCUCUCCGGCGACGUGAGAUACUUAAAAAUGGGAAAUUUGAGAACUGACCUGGAGUAGGGUGAACGGCUUCGAUCUCUGCGGCUUCUCCCUCUGCUGUAGGAUGGCGACCUUGAUAUGCUCCGUCCCAUUUCUCCCUUUAUUUCUUUGUUUUUCUCUUUUUCUUUUUAUUGUCAUGGCUCUUCUUAGUGAAAAAGCCCCAACUCUCAAACAAACCCAAAAAAUUUUCAAAAAGACCAAAAAAACCCCUUCUCUUUAGCACCAAAUAUAUCGAAGUCCUAGGGCUCUUUCCUAUGCUCAAUCUAGGUAAAUACUAUCCAUAAACCACUUUGUGGGUGUAUACUGGUGAAAAUCUAAUUUUACGUUCUUCCAGAGAAGGGGGAUUGAGAAAAAAUCUCAAUACUCUGAUUUAGCUUUCAGUCAAUGAAACUUCAUUUGUUCAUAUACUUUCUCUUAUUACACUCUCUUACUCCAACCGUGUUAAUACCUCCUACCACCAUUAAUAUUUAGUCAUAACAAUUUCAGCAACAUAAGCAAUUAAGUAAGUCUUUUUCUCUUUUAUUUUUAGUUUUCUUAGUAGACUUCUUGUCCAAAACAAGGAAACACUUUUUAUAAUUAUGUUAUUAUCUUGCUAAACUAACGAUCAAUACUUUGUUUGAGCACUUAGUCAUGUUUGAUCAUUGCCAUAACAAUAACUGGAUGUCUGUCAAGAAACCUCUGAGUUCUGCUCCAUAGCCCUUUCACUUGGCGUCUUUGCAGUUUCAUGUUCUAGUUCCAUGUUCUAAGCAUGAUGUCUGGUUGUUAUUUUGGCCUUUAGAAACCUUAAUCGAGACCUGCACAAAAUAUGGUAUCCGAGCUUUAGUUUAGCACCUUAUGCUCCAUAGCCCUUUCACUUGGCGUCUUUGCAGUUUCAUGUUCUAGUUCCAUGUUCUAAGCAUGAUGUCUGGUUGUUAUUUUGGCCUUUAGAAACCUUAAUCGAGACCUGCACAAAAUAUGGUAUCCGAGCUUUAGUUUAGCACCUUAUGUAACACCUCGACCCAAUUUAUCAUUUUAUUCAAUUUAUUUUCAUUUGUGAAUUUAUAAUUUUGCCCUUUGGGGUAGAGGCACAUUGGUCACUUUUUGUUUGGGAUGGAUUUUGUGAAAUUGAGUGGCACCAUUGCUUAGAGCUCGACAAUACGAGUUCGUAGACAAGCAGCAUGCUCAAUUCCAAGCUUUAAAGAACGUGUAAAUGUCUAGAAACGAAAAGGGCAAAAAUGAAAUUUUAAAAUUUGUUACUAUAGCAAACAGACUGCUUCAGUCCUGGGCCUCUUCAAUUUAUCUUCUUCUCCCCACAACUCUCUCUCUUAGGUUCUCUCUCUACCACGUGACACCUGAUUUUCAUGUGGCGAUUUCUUCAUUGUCUGGUGACCAAAUUCCACGAAAUUGGUUCCAAAAUUUUCGUCUCUCUCUCCUCUACACAACCCAGUACUUUUCUCAGAUAAAAAAUUAAGCGUUUAGUCUCCGAAGGUAUUUUAGUUUCUCCGGCGAUUUUGGCGAUGGUUUUCGUCGAGUAAGGUAUGAAACUACAUCCCCUCACCAUGCUCUACUUGUUUAUGUACUUAGUUUGGAUUGAUUUUGAGGUUUUACAGAUUGAUUCUUAAACCCAUUUUGGCCGACAAUUUUAGCUUUGUCUGGCUAGUUCAGGUCAGUUUUUGGCCGUGGUCUAAGAACAAAAAGUGUUCCCCUAGUUAUGCUUGAUCUGUUGGUAUAUUAGUAUUGUGGGGUGUACCUUUAGGAUCGUGUAGGAACUUGUUGAUGUCAGAGUCCCAGAUACUUCGAUUCAAUGAUUCCAGGGUUAGGCGAACCAAUCGUCAUCUGAUUGGCUUAUAUCCGACCGCUCAAUCGAGAUUAAACUUUCAGAACUUGUUUAGUAGACUUUGUUGGACCUAUAGGAACUUUUGGAUCAGAGGUCGUGGGCCCCGCGAGUCCAAUUGACUAGAUGGUGGGCCUCAUUGGCCCAAUCGAGACCCUUUUGGUUAGGAGGUGUUUGUGGUCUGUUUGUUUGAGUUUAAGUUGGUAUUUUGCUAUGAGAGUUUUAUUAACUGUUUUUGAAUUAUUGUUUUAUCGCUUUUAAUUUUCAUGCAUGAUAUGUUGAUGUUUAUUUUAAUAUAUGUGUUAAAUCAUUUGAAAUUGGAAAUAUUGUUGCCUUCGGAAAUAUUAAUGUCUUCGGACGUCCUGGUUGCCUUUGGAAAAAAAAAUUGAUGUCUUAGGAAAUCCUGGUUACCUUCGGAAAUAUUGUUGCCUUAGGUAAUAUUGAUGUAUGCGGACACACAAUUGCCUUUGGAAUGUCUUCGGACAUAUGGUGCCUUCAGAUUGUCUUCGAACACCUUAGUUGCCUUCGAAUUUGUCUACGCGCGUAUGACAUUGCCCCAUGAGUAUCGGGGACUCCCGAACCGUGUGGUGCCAGGAUUUGCUUUCUCAGGUUGAGUAUAUCUCCCUAAGUUCUGCGAGGAUUUGCGUUCUCAAGUUGAGUAUAUCUCCUUGAGUUCUACGAGGAAUGCGUCUCAGGCUGACUAUGUGUCCCCUGAGUUCUGUGAGGACUGUGUCUCUGGCCGACCUCGUGUCUCUCGAGUUCUGCGAGAUGUGUCGUACUUGGAAUUGACAGUAUGCUAUUGGAAUUGAUGGAUUGUGUUUGAGGUACAUUUGUAGAGAAUAGUGUAGUACCAACGUGUGGCACAGUUGUUGAGGCCCAAAAAAUCCACGGUUGGGCCCAAAUAAAUUGUCGGCCCAACACGACACCUUAUUAAGAAAAGACCUAAUUUGGAGCACACGAAAGUCCGCCAUGCACAACUCACAGUCCACGUGCCAUGCCAAAUAAAUACUCUGUCAUGCUAGGAAUUGAGAUAAAGAUUAUAAAAUACACUAGCUUUACAAGCCCAUGCUAAUUAAGCAUCGUGUCCCUCUUCAAGGACCAUAAAAUUAAAGUACGCCAAGCGACAUGCCAUGCCAAGCAAGAAAUCAUUAUUUCUCACUUAACCACGCUACAAGCUUAAGUGGGCCCAAGCCACUCAAAUGCUCGAGCCUUACUUGAGUGGGUUUGUGGUAUAGACGGUAAUGAAUUGUCAUGAGGCCCAUUGAUAGGCCAAGAAAUGAAAGUCCCGGGUUGCUUGGGAGCCUCGGAACUCAAGCCCAUUUCUUAGGCCCAAACAUGUGGGUGAGCAUAAAAGAGAAAAUAGCCCAACACUUGAUAAGGUUAACCCAUUUAUUUGAUAAAUCAACAUUUUGUCUUAGAAAGCCCAUACAAUUAGAAAAAAAAAAAAAAAAAAAAAAGCAGCAAAAGCCCCAGCACUUGGCUAGAGAACAAAGCCACAUAGGGAGCCUGGAGGUUCAUGUGUGCAGAGCUAUUGGGAGGCUCCAGCACAUGGGAGGGAACAAGUUUCAAGCAAAAACAUUCAAAGGACUAGGGGAUAUUGGCGCGCAGACUGCUAGGAAGGAAGUCACCCUUCGAACCAGCGUGCAUACCCAUUUCUUUCCCUCAUCAUACUUGGCCAUGGAAGAAGGAGGAAAAGAAAGGAAGGGGAUGGCUGGGAAUGGAAGUUCUCCACUGAGGCAGCUGGGGAAAGAGCAUUGAGCUCCCAAAAAUCCCUAUUUUUGUGCAAUUGGGCAGAUGGAAUUUCACCAAGAUAGGAUAAGUCAAGGAAGGAGAGGAGAAAGGAAGGGAAAGAUUUGGCCAAAUUGGAUAGAAACCAUUAGGGUUUCUUGGGAAGGAGGAGCUUCCAGCGGCUAUAAAAGAAGCACCUCCUACCCAACAACCAUCAACCACAUCCAGAGAGCAAGCUUCCUCUCUCACCUGUAAAACCCAGCAAAUUCAUGCUCUAUUCACCCUUCUCCCCCAUUUUUCCUCUUCUAGCAGACUGUUCUAACAUUUGACAGAGCCUCUGUCAAGCUACCGGAAAAACACUUAAGCCACCCAUUCUCCUCUCUUUCCCUCAUUCUCAUCCAAACCUUCCUGCAAACGCUCCUCUCUUACCUUAACACCCCCUUUUCCCCCCCAGGAACGCAUAAUUUUCUUCAAUGCUAAACUCAUGACAAUUUUGCUUCCAUGCCACAAGCCUCUCAUGCCAAGCUAAAAGUCUAUCUGUAAGCUGUUGUUAUUUUUGUUGGUGAAGGUAACCAAGGUGUUUCCUAAGGCUUCACUGUUCUUUCGAAGCAUUUUUGAGACUUGAUCUUUGAACUCAGACACAUGAGAUAAUUCCAUCAAUUUGCUCCUUACGGCAGCCCAGCCCAUUUGUAGCUGCCGGAAGAAAAAGCCCCUACAAUAGUUAACAAGAUAUUCUUCACCACCCUUCUCAUAUUAUUUGCACAGGGUUGGCCAGGAUCCCUAGCCACCUAUCCGACUUGUCUACACAAGUGGUUAGCUAGUUUUCUCUUCCCUUGUUGCCUACGAAUUUGAUGGUAUUCCCAUAUACCCCUUGGUGGGUGAUUACAGGGUAUAUGCAUUAUAUGGAUGGUUGUAAGUAUAGCUUUCUGGUAAAAUGUUUGGUUAUGUAAGUGUUUGGAUGUACAAUGAUAAACUAAUUGAAUAGUUAGGUACAUAAUUUCCUGGCAUGGUGUUCAAUUAUAUAGCUUGUUAAAAUCAAAGUAAAGAAUGAUUUUAGAUUUUAUUGUUGGUUUAUUGAACAAUAUUAUAUUAUAUGAAUUGUGAUUUUAGUAUAAAGAACUAUGUGUGGCUUGAUCCCUCAGUAAUGGUACGUAGGCAACCUAGUCUAACCUAGGUGUAGCUGCAAGUUUAUGAUUUGUUUGUGUUGAGGCCCAAAAUAUUCAAGGCUAGGCCCAAAUAUAUUUCCGACCCAGUACAACACUUAACUAGGGAAGAAGCCCUACUUGGGUACGCAAGAGUUCGUCAUGUACGCUUGCACGAGUUGUGGCCUACGUGCCACGCCAAGCGAAUACAUAACCCGCCACGCAGAAAGGUUGUGAAAAGCCCGUAAAACAUAUUGGCUCUAUAAACACGUGCUUAUUAUCCCGUCAAGCACCAUUUGGCCAGGCCAUAGCCCUUUACAAUACAGCAAAGCUCGAGCACAAGCACGCCAAAUAAACACGCAACACCAAGUCAAAAAUCUUUAUUUUGACAUCAAGCCACACUACAAGCUUAAGUAGGCCCAAUCCACGCAAAUGCCUAGGGCUUACUGAGCAGAGUGUGGUAUGGAUGGUUACGGGUAUUCACGAGGCCCAUUGAUAGUCCAAGAAAUGGAAGUUUUGGGCUGCUUAGGAGCACCAAAAUUCGAGCCCAUUUCUUGAGCCUAAACAUAUGGAUAAGCAUGAGAGAGAAAAAGUGGUCCAUCACCUAAGGAAAAGUGGCCCAUCACCUUAGGAAGUGGCCAAGCAACUUGAAAAUAUCCCAAGAAACCUCCAACACAUGACUAGAGCCACAUCCAAGAUAAACCAUCGUUAAAACAAGCUAGGGUUUCUUGGAAAGGAGGAGCUUCCAGCGCUUGUAAAAGAGGGCAUCUCCUACCUAGCAAAUAAACACAUCCAGAGUGAGCAAGCAUCCUCACUCACUGCUAGAACCUUCAAUUUCAAGCCUUGUUCUCCCAUCGUCCUUUUUCCUCUUCGAGCAAACCAUCCAAGAGUGUGACGAAACUUUCUUUAAGUUGCUGGGAAUUUACUCAAGCCACCCAUCCUUAACAUCCUCAUCUGUCCCUCUCUUCCUUCAACAAAUCUUCCAAAAUUUCCCUCUCCCUUUGCUUUGAACCUCUGUUUCUCAUGAGAAAUCCAAGCUUUCUCUCUCUAAUGCUAAACUCAUAAAUGCUCAGCUCUCAUACCACAAGGUUCUCAGGUUAAGCCAUAAUAUUAAUCUAUAAGCAGUUGUCGGUUUUGUUGAUGGAAGAAACCAAAGUGCUUCCUAAGGCUCCACGAACCUUUUGAAGCAUUCUUGGGGCCUAAUUAUUCAACUCAAGUAAGGGGCAACUCCAUCCAUUUGCUCUUUACAGUUGCCUGUGGCCAUCUGUAGCUGCUGGAAUAAAAAAGCCCCUACAGUUUGUUAUGUUCAAUUUUGUCAAGUUAAAUUUGCCCGAGGCCGGGGGGGAAGGGGGUGGUGGCGCCUCAAACCCAUUGAAACUAUAUAGGUUGAUUUUGGGUUUUGAGCCUUUUUCACGGGAGAUUGUCGAUUUUCCGGGAGAAGUCAAACCCUAAAGCCGUUUUUGGGAUUAGGGCCAAAAAGGUAUUUUGGUUAUUCGUGCCUGAAACCUGCCAGGUGUUGGAUACACACGGGGUUCGACACAGAUUCCAAAGUGGAAUUUGAGUCAGGUCCUGUCACCUAUAACAGUAAAGUACCUUGACGACAGAAGUCAAUGAACACAACUGAUAAAAACUCAAUGUGUUUUACACGACCGUCCCCGGAUUCCCCCUCAAAAUCCGUGACGAACCCUGCUUCCCGUUCGACAUCUACCCAAUGCCGUACCCACUUUACUAAAAACCUUGUAGCCCUACUUUAAAUGGAUAAACAAUUCCCGAAUUACAAUACCUGCAAACAAGUACAGAAAUAACCCCAACUUCCAGCAUGGAUAAGAUAAAGGCACACACAACAAUUAAGACUAAUUAAAUGGGCUUCACGCCCUCUACCCAAACUCAGAUAGAGCAAGUAGAGCAACUAAAGAAUUUAGUUUACAACCCGAGGAAAAGAGAGUAGAGAAAAGUAAAGGAAAAGUUCCUACAAAGCGGACAACUGCGAUGUCUAGACUUGGUGGUCUCGACCUCGGAUAUCUAGGACCUAGGGGACGCACAACAUAAAAUGUGAUUAGACGAAAACAAAGUGUUUAACAUAAUUUAUAUGCAACAUAAAUAACCACUCCAUUUUAGAAAAUAAUGCCAAGCUACAAAAUCCUUAUAUGCGUACGUAUAUAUGAACUGAUACUUGAAAAUAAUCCAAUUCAGUAUACUAAUAACAAAAUAUACAAUAAAGAAAUCUAUUUAAUUAAUAUUUCUCAAUUUCUUGGAAAAUACGAACUUAAUAAUUUAGUCUUUGUUGUAAUACCGUAUAAUCGAAACUUUCAAAAUAAACCCGUUAAUGUAAAAUAUAAAUAUCAAAACACAAAAUAUCCUUUUUCUCCCGCAACCAUUCCCUUACUUAGGCGUAUGCUUGCAAACAUAAAAUGUCAAGUAAUUUGCAAAUACCCAAUCUCAAAUCCAAACCUCAUUUCAAAAAUUCAUACCUAUGCAAAGCAGUCUCAAUGCACAUGCUUAGAAAACUCAACCUGGAAACAAAUCCACAAAUAUACCCACACAAAUACCCAUAUACAUAUUUAUAUAAUAAAAUUGACUUUAAAACCAAGAUAUCCCAUCCCGAAAACAAGACCUUUUUUCCUUCCCGGACCACUCUCUUCCAAAAUGCAUGCUCGUAGGCACAACAAGCGUGGAAGGAUCUGUAACAUCCCGACCCAAAUUAAUUAUUAUUUCAUUAAUUUGUAGAAUUUAUAAUUUUGCCCUUGGGGUAGGGUCACGUUAGUCACUUUUCGAUCCGUAAGGAUUUUUGGGAUUUGAGUGGCACUAUUUCUUAUAGCUCCCUCUUACGAGUUCUUAAAAAUGUAGUGAACCCAAAUCGAAGUUUUAACAAAGAAGUUGUGGUCAACGGCAGUGGCACAACCGUAAAUUUUUAGAAGUUCAAUUUUUAAAAACAUACCAGCCCUCUCUCUCCCCCACGCGUAAAUUUUUAGAUGUUCAAACCGCGAUUUCAUAGCCGUCCGGUGACUAAACCCUUGUACCAAAUUUCUCCUCUCUCUCUCUCUUCCACCCACCCCACCCUAUUUCGUAGCUCGAAAAUCCGAUCAGAAGUGACUAGAUCAACUGUUUUUUGGCCGGUUUUUUCCUCGUCGUUUCUAGUGAUUUCGACAACAAUUUUCGUCUGGUUCUUCAUCCUCUCAAUGCCCUCUAGCUGUUUUGGUAGAUGGUUUGGGUCGAUUUGGGAGUUUUGAAUCAAAUCUAAAGAUUAGGUUUUGAGCCGGCUGUUAAGGUGUUUUUUUUUGGCAAGCUCUAGCCACUUUUUGGCCAUGGUCCAAGACCAAAACCUGUUUCCCUAGUUGUGCUGGUCCGGUUAGUAUAGGUAUUGUAGGGAGUUUCAAGAAAUUUCCGUCUCUGAGAAUGAAAUUUCUCAAGACACCUACAUACUGCUAGUGGCGAGUGGCGCCGCUAGGGCCACUGAGUGGAAGCCCAUUGUAUAAAAGAAACAAAAAAAAAAACACUCCCCACGUCGUCCUGAGCAUGACAGUAUGCUCGAAUUUGGAGUUGGUUAUCAUGUGACUAUCGAACGGAUAUUACGCCUAUUAUCCGAUAUCCAGGUUCGAUAGGUGUGGACCAUUCGAUCGAUUUUAGUUUCAACUAUGUUGUUCUCUGUACCUUUAGAAUCGUGUAAGAAUUCACUAAUCUAGAAUCGGACUCCCAAUACUCCGAAUUAAUGCUUCUAGGUUCAGGUGAAAUGAUCGCCGUCUGAUCGUACGAUUGGCUUAGAUCCAACCGCUCGAUUGAGACUAAACUUACAGGACUUGUUUUGUGGACUUUGUUGGACCUUUAGGAACUUUUAGAUCGGAAAUUGGAGAUCGUGGGCCCAAGGGCCCGAUUGACCAAUAUGGAAAGUUUGACAGCUCGGUUGACCGCGAGUCUUCCGAAGUCGUCUCAUCCUUCGAAAAGUAUUAGAUUGACCUUAAGAACUCCUCGAAAGUCGUGCGCACGCUUUAAGAAACAAACUAGAAAAAUUGGAGGAAGACAUUGUACAUACAUUGUGCAUGUUAGAAAGGUUCUUUCCCCCUUCUUUCUUCGACGUAAUGGUGCAUUUGACAAUCCACCUAGGACGGGAAGCUCGUCUAUGCGGACCGGUUCAAUAUCGUUGGAUGUAUCCAUUUGAGAGGUAGUUUUCAAUUUAUUAAAAAUAAUGUACAUUUUAAACUUCAAAUGAAAUUUGUUUGAAUUCUAACUCAUUGGUGUUUUAGGUAUAUGAAAGUGUUGAAAGGAUAUGUUAUGAAUCGUGCACGACCAGAAGGAUGUAUGGCUGAACCCUACCUCGCUGAAGAGUGUGCUUUGUUAUGUAGCAAGUAUAUAAAGCAAGCUGCUGAUAUAGGCUCUAGGAAUGCGAGCAAUGAAGAGUUUGAAAAUGGUUUACUGCUGGAAGGGCGUCCAAUAUCUCAAGAAAAAUGAAUAAUUUUUACAAAUGAGAUGUUACAAGUUGCUCAUCGCCAAGUGUUGCUCAAUAUGGCAAAAGUGCAGCGCUAUAUAGAGUAAGUUUUUAUAACCUUUUUACUAAUUUGCAACUUGCAUGCAAGUGACAUUUCAAGAAAUUCCUAACAAAUUACUUACUAUGUUAGGAUGCAUUUGGAUGAACUUAGGCAUUCAAAUAGACGUUUAUUAAAGAAUGAAACUUUAUUACAGAAAAAGCACGUGGAGUCAUUUGGCAUAUGGUUGGAUGAUAAGGUUGUAAGAGAUCUUAUCAUACUUAGUGGAUUUUUAAUUUUGUGUAAUUGACACUUAUCUCUAAAACAUGCUUACAUUUUGGACAGAUUAGGGCAGAGGAGAUGGUCCACAAUGUGUCAAAUGCUUUAAAGUGGCUUGCACGUGAGCCUGGUCUCUAUGCAGUUUUUGUUCACUCGUUUUAUGUUCGUUCCUGUGAUGGUAGGGUAAAGUUCUUCAUUGCCUUGAAAAUCAUUGACUGGUCAAUAAGUCAACUUUGUUUAGUGUGCGAGCGUGCCACUGCUAGUAAUAAGAAUUCUAGCAAACUUCUCAAAAAUAGAUUACUUGCACCCCAAGUUACUAAUUUCUAAGCAAGCAAUUGUGAAUUUGGGUGAGGAAUAUCUCCCAAGUAAGUUCGUUUCUUGCAUCAGACUGGUGAGGACUUUCACAAUUUUUCACGGUACAAAACUGGUAGUUCUGGCUAGAAUAAAUGAUAAGAUGGCGAACUGUUUUAGGCAGAACUCCCUUUUACAAAACUCAAGAAUGAAAAACCAACUCUAGAAAGACAAAAAGAGGGUUGGACUUCCAUUUCUGCCUAGAUAGAUGCUUCUGAUCCGGGCUGGACUGGGCAUGCCUGUGUUGGACUGGACUGUCAACAACUUCAACUGCUAAGUUUCAGCUGUAAAUCGAUACCAACGUUCGAGUUUGGCAGAGCUUAAUCUAUUUCAAGCCCUGGAAGGCUUCUUGAACGGGCGGAAUUGCGGCUUCUUCAGUCUGAAAGGGGCAGAAGUGGCUGGACUUGAGGAUUACUGGGCUGGAACUGCACUGUGGUACCUGUUCUGCUUGAUCAGGGCUCUCCAUAAAUUUAGUGAGGUUUUCAUAUUUGUAAAAAUCCGAACUCUGCUUGUCUUUUGGCUUAUGCUGAACCAAAUUUGUAAUGAGAAAAAUCUCGUUUUGAAUUACUUAUUUCUCUAAGUCUGAAACUGGAAGUUUUGAUUUGUAGCUGGCUUCUUUCUUGUGGCUCAAUGUGAUAGGACCCGAUACAAAUUCCGCUUUGGAAUCCGAACUCUGCCGGUUUUUCGAUAGAAGUUCACCUUAUUAUUUUUCUCGUAUUUUGUAGAGAAGGGCAAAUAGAUCAUUUGUGCUCGACAUUCGCCAGGUGUCGGACACGCACAAGGUCUGGUUCGGAUUCCAAAGCGGAAUUUGGAUCGGGUCCUGUCACAAUGAGCUUUUGGUUGCUUCAGGUUGUUUGAAGGUUCUUUGAGAUCAAGUGAUCAUUUUGAAUUUUUGUUUUUGAUUGAUUUUUUGGCUAUCCUUUGAUAUGUUCACCUACUCUCAUAUUUAUAGAAAAUGUUGGAGUGGGGCUUCUAAUCUUUUAAUAAUGGGCGGCAGAUUUUCCAAAAACAAGAUCUUUUAUUUUAAAAUGCAAAGAAAAAGGGAAGUUAUCUAUUCUGGCAGAGAAGAACCAUCAGUAGUCAAUUUUUAUGGAGGUCUUUUCUUUGUUCUCUGUUUGUGCUUGGUAAGGAGAAAGAACACAAUCUGCCAUGAUGGUUAGUUUGCUUUUCUUGUUUGAACAACUCCCUCUACUUAUCUCUUAAAAUUGUAGUAUGCUUAUCUCUUGGGAAGACUACCUAUUCUUAUGCAUAAUUAUAUAGAAAGGGAUUCUGAUCUUUUAGCUGCAAAGUCUUAGAAAAGUCUUUAUGAAAUCCUGUCUUCAUUAAUUCCCAAUCAACUUCUCAUGUGACUAGUUGAAAUUGUUGACCUCUCAAAGUCAGAUAGUCACGUGGGUUUCUCUGUGAUUCAGGGCUGAGUGCCUCACUUCUUGCUUAAAGUGGUGUUUUGGCCCUCUUUUCAAUUUGGGUAGGGAGCUGGCAGUUUUGAUAAAACUGCCUUUGGGCUUCUUCAAUUUUGGGUUGUUCCCUAUAUUCAUCCAUGUUAAGCCCAAUUUUGAGUUUUGGGGCUGUGGGCUGAGCAGGGUUGAGCAAUUAGUAUGUACUGGGCUUCCUUCCAGUUUUUGAGUUCUGGUAAAAAAUCUUACUUGGGUUUGGUCUUUUUGACUUUGGGCCCUCGAUUCCAAUUCUAGUCCAAACUGCCUGGGUCCUGAGUUUUGUCUUCCUAGGCUCCUAUUGCUGGGCUGGGCGUGUAAUUUGUUGGCCCAAACAGUUUCAUAUUCUGAUUUUGUUAUCAAUGGUCUUCGGUUUCACACUAAAGAAUUUGAGAAAUCUACACAAGACAGCGGUGUUUCACUUGAAGCAACAACUAUUUAUAUAUCUAGUGCAAGAGAUAAUACACCAGUCACAGGGAAAGUAGCUUAUUAUGGGGGUUUUGAGAGAAGUCAUAGUCUUGUCAUAUCAUGAAUUUUAUAUUGCCUUAUUCAAGUGUGAUUGGGCAAGCAUUGUGAAUGGUAUCAAACUAGAUGAUGGAUUUACCUUAGUUGAUCUCCACGAAGGACAAAGUCAGUUUGAAAGGGAUCCUUUCAUUUUAGCAUCACAUGCUAAACAAGUUUUUUAUUCUAGGGAGGAUGAGACAUCUAGUUGGUAUGUUGUCAUGAAAGCACCACCCAAAGGAUUUCAAGACUUGGAGAUAUCCGAUGAGAUGGAAAGUGGCACAUCUACCCCAUUUGAUGUAUCAAGACUUGAUUAUGAUGAUAAUGAGGGUGAACAAUAUGUGGGGAUGGACGUUGAUGGAAUGUUUUUUGAUGAGUAGUGCAAUGAAUCGUCUAAGAUUGGAUGUGAAAGGAUAAUAUUAAAUAUAUGUCUUCACUUGGUGUAUUAUGUUCAAUGAAACAAAUGAGUUCUAACUUUUUGUGUUGUAUUGUUGUGUUCAAUGAAACAAAUGAGUUCUAACUUUUUGUGUUGUAUUCUACUAUACUUCAAUGAGCGGUGAUUUAUUAAAUUUCACUCUCAGUUGAUAGUAUAUAGGGAUAAUAUGUCACUUCAUAGCUAAAUCAUGUACUUCUUAUUGUUUUUCAGGUUGGUUGCUAUCAAAGUCUUUUGAAAAUUAUAUCGCAAGAUGUCUGGUUGUGAGGUAGGACUAAUUUUUUUUUUUACUUUUCUUCAAAAUGAAUAAUACUUGGUAAUAAUUUUAUUUAUGUAUUUUUGCUGUGAAGUCUUAUGAGAUUUUUGCAAAGCGAACAACAAAGCAACUCAAGGCAACAUUGGCUAUUGCAACUCAACGUCGAAAUUUAGGAAUUCGUAUAUGUGAUGAAAGGAUGAAUAACAAAGAGAAACAACCAAGAGGUACACAACAAGACAAUUCGCAGCGGGAAACUACAAUGAGAGGACAUCGUGAAAAUGAGGUUAGAACAUCUAAUGUGAGGUCCAAUGCUUCAUCUACUCAUCCAGCUACUGAUGUAGAAGAGCAGCCAGCACAAGCUCAAAAUGUUACACAAACCAAAGAACAAAAAAAGAAGCGAGGUCCUACUAGAAUGACAGUUAUUCCCCAAGGCAAAAAAUCACAGUUAGAAGUUGUUUCAAUCUCGGGGGACAACUAUGUGGUCCAAAUUCAGAGUCUUUUGCCUCAUUUCUUGGGGUCUUAACACGAGCGCAUGUGCCUAUUGUUAUGUCAAAUUGGAAGGACCUUAAAGAAAAAAACAAGGAUGAGCUUUGGUCAUUACUUCAGGUUUGCUUUUUCUUUUUUCUCUUUUUGUAUAUACCAAACUGUUAUUUGAUUUGUUCUCUAUUUAGAAACUAAACUACUAUUGUAUUUGAAAAAUAUAGCAAAACUACAUAGUGGGAGAUGAGCAUAAAAAAUUUAUUUUUAGGAUGAUGGGGAAAUAUUGGAGACAAUAUAAAUAAAAAAUAACAACAACAAUUCGUGAAGCAAGUAAAAGAAAGCAUAAGGCAUGUGCCAUUUCCCUUGUGAAGCCAGACAAUGUAAAGUCAAAGGAAGAUUGGGACAAAUUUGUCAAAGAAAGACUUGGAGCGGCAUUUCAAGUGGGUAUUUCUUUCUUAGCAAUAAUUAUACUUUCAGGUAUUCUUAUCAAUUUCUAACUUUUUUUUUUUUUACUCAUGUAACUAUUUGUUGUCUCUUGUAGAAACUGAGUGAAAAGUUUAAAGCAAUGAGAAAGAAGAAAAAGUACACAUACAAUGAGUCGAAAAGGCUAUGCCCGUAUGGAGUAUGACAUGGUAUGAUUACUAAGCAUAUUACCAAAUAUUUAAUUUAAUUUUUUUUUUCGAGUAGAUACCUAAUUUGUUCUCAUGUAGAAAUUAAAUCAUCCAAAUCCUGAAGAAAUAAAUAGAGUGACAUUGUGGACAAAAGCGCAUGAGAGAAAGGAUGGUACACUAAUUAACGAAGUUGUUAGCAACAUAUUGGUAAGAAACCAAAUGGAAGUUUCAAAUUAAUAUUAUUUGUCUGUGUGACUUAGUCAGUUGAAGCUGCUGGGAUUUCUUUUGUUGAAGUGUUGGGGUUUGGUUAUGAUGCAUUAAUUUUUAUAAGAAUAUAAGCUCUUGUUUCUGCAUAAGUGAUGUUAGUUUAUUAAGCUUAUGUUUUAUAUGUUAUAGAAAGAUAUAAAGACGUGCAAUGAGUCGAAAGAGAAUCCACCCGCGAGAAAUUUUAUAUGAGAUGACGCUAUAGCAAGAGUUUUAGGACCUGAAACUCGUGGCCAAGUUCGAGGGCUUGGGUUUGGUGUAACACCCUCUAGAGUAGAUGCAGUGAUUCAAGGCAGCGGACGAGUUAAAGAACUUGAAUCCAUAGUGAAAUCUCAAUCUCAAUCUCAAAGGAUGGAGCUAAUUGAAGCCAAAGUUGAAGCAUUUAUUAAAAUGUCUCAAGAGGUAUAAAACUCUUAAAAUAAUCUAUGAAGCAUUUAUUCAUAUAGUUAUUUAUUAAAUCACAAAUUUUGUCUCAAGCUUAUCUUUAACUUUUUACAGCCUCACAAUAAGAAUGUAGAGGAUAUGAUAAGUGCACAUGCAUGUACUCCUCAAGUAAGUAUUUUUCAUGAUAAUUAUAGCAUGAUAUAGUAAUAUGUGAGAUAGCUUAUAAUUUCUAAAUUAUUGUUAUCUUCCAUUGUAUUUCAUAUAGUCACAACAAGGAAGCCGUCAUGUACAAGAUAAAAGUUACAAUGUGAAUGCAAGAUGUGGUCAAAGUAGCAAUCUUGAAUAUGGAAGAUGCCAACUUUUACACUGGUACAAUAUUCAGUUGGAGCAAGUUGUAGCUGAGGGUUGUAGGUGAGGGACAUAUUGCCUCAACAGACCCAACUGUUAAAGUUCAUCAUAUGCCUAUUGGACGUGAUUGUUGGAAGGUUUGGGUUGAUGAAGUGCUUGAUGAAGAACUUAACUUGUAUAGACCCACAGAUGAAGCGCGAAGACUUGGUAAAGCUUUAGGAAGUACUGUUGCAUGGCCAAAAAGCUGUAUAAAAUUGCUUAACUAAGGUAUUUUUCUAUUUACUUUGACAUUGCUGAACAUUCAAAGUUUCUAUAUAACAUACUAGUCUCUUUUUUGCUAUGUAUGUUACUUUUUUCAGGUGCUUCCUUAAUUAUCUUUUGAAUGAAAGCUUUGUAUUUUGAGUUGUUGUAUGAAUGUUAAGUAAGGAAAUAUUUAUGUUUAUCAUAGAGCUUCAAUUUAUAGAUAAAUUAUAUCGGGUAAUUUUGAUAAUUAUUAAAAAUAUAUAUAUUUGAUAUAACAACGCGCAUUGGCUGUUGUCAAAACAUAAACAACAACGAGCUCAGACACGUUGUCGUAAUAUUAUAAGACAACGCGCCAGGCACGUUGUUGUUAAUUGCUCCCACAAACGUGUGAGUGUUGUGGUUAAUGUUGUUCACAACGAGCGCAAAAAUGAACGACGAGGUGUAAUGCGUGUUGUCAAAAGCCCUAAACUUUUUAACUACAUCGGCUUCAACAACGUGCGCCGCAUGUUGUUAAUAUGUUUUAACAACGCACAUUGCGUGUUGUUAAAGGACUUUUUUUCUUGUAGUGAAGAUUGAUGGUCCAGAUGCAUUCCCAAUUACCUAUCUAAUGGCCCAGAUCAAAUCAUAAGUCUUUGAUUUGAUCCACGGUCCUGAUCUAAUCCUAGAAUAGAUCGUUGGUCAAGAUUAAAUGAGUUCACGAAAUAGCAUCAUAGAACCUAGUUGUAUCUUUAAAAAAAAUCUGAGUCAAAGUCUGACUCAAUGAUUGGUUUGGACCAGCUAAUCAUACAAUGACACGUUGUUGUAGAUAUUUUAAAUUUUCUUAUUUUCCAACUUCGAAAAUUACUUCCGAGUUAUGAAAAAUACCACAUGCUCAUAAUGACGUCUACUAUUUUUCUAUGAAGUUAAGACACCAAAAUUCAAACUUCAAAUAUGUCUGAAGUAAUUUAUUCUCCAAUAUAAUAGUGGUAUGUACUUGUGAAAAAAAUUCAAUGUACCUCAAAUAGGACUGUGCAAUUAAUAUUGUGAGCGUAUUUUUGAAAUUUUUGAGUGGCUAAAAGCUCGACCUUGUCUUUGCGUGUCCUAGGGGCGCAAAUCAAAGAAAAUAAAGUUUUGAACAUAUGUAUAAUGAACAUACUAACCCUGUAUUUUCUAAAAACCUUUUCAUAAAACUUUAAGCAAUUCUUAUUUGAGGGAUCCCACAAAUAAGUUUAUUUGAGGGACACCUUUGUAGGGCCCCACUCCACAUUGUAUUCCACUAAUCCAAAUCAUCUAUUUUUUAUAUAAUAAUUCAAAAAUCAUCUCUAUAAAAAAUAAAAAUAAAAAUAAAAAUCACUUGAAUAUGAUAUAAUUUGACCACUCAAUUGAGUACUUGAAAUGUUAAUACUUUCUUGAAGCAUCGUGUUCAUUGAUUUUGUAGGACACAAUUGGAUGUCGAAAUGUUUUCCGAUUUGUCUAAUUUUUUGCAAUGAUGAUCUAUAAAUAUAGACUUAAAAAAUAGAUGGUUUGGAUCGUUGAAAAAAAAAUCGUGCGGUACCCUAAAUGGUGUCCCUCAAAUAAAAUUAUUUGAGGAAUCCCUCAAUAGAAUGGGACUGUAUAUAUAUAUAUAUAUAUAUCUCUCUCUCUCUCUUCCUCUCUAGAAUCUUACAGCUUUUGUUGGACAUUGUGAAUAAGCUCUGGUCUUCGUUAGAGGUUCGAAUCUAUACGAUGUCGUUUCCAAAAUUCUGUUUUCUAUUUCUUGUUUCAUUUUUAUUUUCCUCCCUAUUUCAAUAGGGUUUCUAUAUGAUCUCAUCUAAAGGAGAUUGAUUAUCCGUGAUCUUAACUAUAUUGGUUUAGAUUGUUGUGGGUUUAUUUUGGGCUUGAGCUUGCAAGGAGCUAGCAGUGAGAAGAAGAGUGAGAGAAGAGCAUGAUAGGAGCUCAUAUGACAUAUUCUUUUUCGGGGUGUUAUGGGAAAAAUGAAAUAUUCAUUAAAAGAACCAGCUUUUAUAUUUUUUUCGUAGUAGCUUUAGGAAGCGAGGUCCAAGCGGCUUUGAAAAUCUGCUGCAGACCUGAGUUAAUUUUUAAAAUAAGUCAAGUUUAUGGCUGAUUUGUGGAUGGAUCAAAUAGGAAUGAGGGGAUUCCAAUUUCAAUAAAAAAAAAUUCGAAAUGAUAAUUCUAUUCCAAAAAAAUUUAGUAUUCAAUAGUCACCGACCUGACCGACUGGCCACACAUUGACUGGGUGUUGCCAUUAACCCGACCGACUCUGACUUAGACUAUAACCUAUGAAUCUUUUGAUGCACAUGGACCCAGAUGAUUAACUUAAAUAUGGAUUUGGCUCCACUUGUGGUCCACUAUGUGGAGGUCCCACGUGAGGAGGCGUGUUGAAGAAUAUAAAGUUUCACAUCGGAAACUUGACUAAAUAAACUACAACUUAUAAUAAGUGGUUCCAUUCCUAAUAACAUCAAGGCUUUUUGUGAUAAAACCCCACACCUACUGAGCUUUGUAGGUGGUUAAGUUGGGGAAAAUGUUGGUGUUGCUAGUAGUGAGCCACUGGUCCAUCUCUCUGAAUUUAACAGGGAGCACCAAAACACAGGCCCAUUUCUAUUAAGCCCAUUGAGUGGGUAAGUAGAGAGGCGUUUUCUUCUAGCAUUUAUUACCCAACCUCCAAUUUCCUACCUUCCAGCACAAAAACUAUGGUCAUACUUACUGUGCUACAAGUAAGUAUGACCAUAGUUUUUGCCUAGGGACUACUACCCAUAGUUAAUCCAGCGCCUACUACCCAACCCCCAACUGCCUAUCACUCAAACCUCAGUCAAACAUCUUAAACUGAUUUACUGUGUCGCCAACUUCUGCCUAGGGACUGAGCCACUCAUUCAUUGCUUGAUUGAGCUCCAAAGGCUAUAAAAGGAAGCAAUGGUAACCCAAAGGAACCAACACGGCAAUAUGAGCAAGCCAUAGUCAUAUUGCUGGAAACACUCAAGCCCUUUCAUCCUCUUCUUUCUUCAAGAAACCAUCGUCUUCUUAAAAUCGUCUUGUCCUUUCUUCAUCCCUAAACUAGUUUAAGCCCUAAAAUAUUCUUCAUUCAAUACCCUGUUUCAACUCAAGCAAACGCUCUCUUGUUAAACUCAUGUAGACUUAGCUCCCUAUGCCACAAGCCUCUCAAGCAAGCCAAAAUCUAAGUUCACAACAAUCAUUAUCAGCUUGGUGAGAAGAAACUAGAGCAUUUCUUGAGUAGUACAUUCUUUCGGAGUGUUUUGGGGUUUGAUUCUUGAACUCGGGCACUCUCUCUUUAUGGCAGUCCAAGCCCACAAAUAAUUGCCUGAACAAAAAAGCCCCCACAAGCUCUAAUGAAGGCAUAUAAGUGAUGACAAAUGUUGUGAAAGCCUGUGAUUAGAUAUCAUAAACUAAAGCUUAGGCUUGUUUGCUACGAGAACAAUUCGCUCGCUUCUAUGAACAAAAAGGUUUUUAUGGUUCACUAGAGGCUCAAAUAGAUGCUAUGAUUAUGGAUCUCAUUGAUUAGUGGUCAACAUAUGGUGCAGAAACAAUAGAAUUAUCAAAGGUUGCUAAAAAGGUAUAAAUUUAAUUUCAAUAUUUUUUAAUUAUUAUUUUUUAUCUUAAAUAAUUAUAUAUAUAUUAACAAAUGAUAAAGGUGUUGGCUCAACCGAUAUCAAGUUCAUUUGUGGAAAGAAUUUGGAGUCCAUAUUCUUACAUCCAUAAUGUUAAGAGAAACUAGCAGAAUUUUGCAAUAGCUGAUCAAUUGGUUUAUACCCAUUCCAGUAUCUGUCUCCAAUCACGUUUCAGUGAGAGUUACAAAGAUGAGCCUUUCAAGAAAUGAGAUAUUGAUCUAGAAUCCUCUUUUUUAGAUGACUGCUAUAAAAUUGGAGGAAAUGAGAUGGAAAGGGUUGGAGGGCGAUUAUGCAAGUGUUCACAACCAAGCAUCAUCCUCACCAUCCUCUAUGCCCAGUCACUUUUCUCUUGGAGGGAGCUCAAGCACAAGGACUAGUGCAAAAGCGAAGGAAAAAUGACCAGUUGGCUAAAGUUGCUAUUUUUUAAUUUUAAGUAUUCUCAAUUUCCGUUUUGUUUGGUUUGAAGUUUCAACAAUAAACUUUAAUUUAUGUUCCUACAUGCAAUUUUAAUUAUGAACAUAUUUAUUUUAUGAAUAAGUGGUUUUUUAUUUAUUCAAUCAGUUAUGUAUUUUAUUUGUUUAAUGUAUUAAAAGAACUGUGACUUUCCUUCUUUCCUAGCAAUUCUUGAACAGUUCCGUUCUUUUGGACUCCAGGAUCUAAGGAAGUUUUGGUCACUCACCCUUGGAUCUAAUAUAAGGGCUGAAAAAAAAACUUAUUUAAAUAUCAAUAUGUCAUUAUUUUAUUACUUUUAGUGUACAAAAUAUUAAUUUAACUUAAACAAAAACAAAAGCUUAAAAAAAGAAAAAAUCACUCCAACACGCUCUCUCUCAGAAAACCAAGAACAUGUUCUUCCUCCAUUGUCGUUCACAACUACCUUCAACUCCGGUGUUGCAAACGAAAAUCAAGAAUACGUGUCGUUUAAGAUUCACUCUAAUUCCUAUUGGUUAUCUAUGUCAUCUUUUAUUUUACUGUAAUAAAAAUAAAAAUAAAAAUAAAAGAUGACAUAUUGAUAUUUAAACCAAUUUCUUCUCAACCGUUAGAUUAGAUCUAAUAGUAGGUAACCACAAUUUCCUUGGACCAUAGGGUCCAGGAGAAAAAGACUAAAUUGUUGAAACUAGAAGCAAUACUUUUACUAUAUGGACACACCCACCCACCCAAUCUCUUAUACGUUCUCCUUAGAGCACUUCCACCCAUUUGUCAUGGCAAAGAGUAAGGGCAAGUAAGAGCGGUUAAGUUUACUUGAAUAGUUGUUGUGUCUACCCAAGUGCAAGUAGUCGCACGUGGUAAUAAUCUAGGAAGUCCAAGUAUCGUAUCCUCAAGGAGAAGGAAGGUAAAUGUCUGCACACAAAGAAAUAAUUAAAAGUACCAAAAUAAAAGUGACAAGCAAUUUGAAAAAGUAAUUUGAUUUGAGUGUUGUAGAGAUUGAGUUUAAAAACGAAAUAUCAAUAAUGAAAAUGCUAAGGCAUCAAGGUUCAAUUCUUUAAGCAAAAUAUGUUUCAUGCUCUUUAAUCCAAAUUAUAACUCGAUUAAAAUUAUCAUUGAGAAACUUUAACCGGAAGAUAAAGAAAUUAAAAUUAAUUUAAUUUUUCAAUGUUAUCUUUUAUUAAUGAUUGUUCAAAAAAAAAAUGCUUAAUAUCUAAUUUUUUUAAUUUAAAAGUAUGCUAAGUCAGUUCUUAACAUUGAGAAAAAUAUAAUUGAACUCAUGAAAAGAUAGUAGCACUUAACAUCAAUCAAAAUAAAAGGAUAUGAAAAUAUUGAAUAACCAAAAAUAAAAGAAUUUAGCAAUUCAUACUGUAUAUUGGAUUAAAGAACAAUUCACAAACUUACUCAAAGGACAUUCCCUUUAGCCUUAGUUAGAGUUCUAGCAACUCAUUACAAAGAAAAACAUAACUGAAUUUUUAAUGAAAUGGAUAAAGAAAUCUGUUGUAGUCCCUUGCCAAAUAAGUUGAUGGGUGAUUUAUAAUCAAUGAGGUGAGUGGAAAGUUAAUACAUUCAUGGUGGGUAAUGAAAGGUUUAAGUGAGAGAUUAAUUGGAUUAAACAUGUGUUAAUGAUGGAGAGUUAGUAGAAAAGAAAUAACGGUGAGGUAGUCGGCGUUAAAUGGCUAUGAAUGACAUGAAAUAGGCUUUUUAGCUUCAACGGUUUUGUUUCUCUUCUCCUUUUUUACUUCUCUUUAUAACCACAAUAAUCCCACAAUCAAUUCUUCAAUAAAAUCCGUCAGCAAUUCUCUGCACAUGGCUUGAACUUGGACAAAUAUAUAUCUUCAUAUUUUGGCUUUUCAACUUCCUACAAAAGAUAAAUUCACCUAAUAAGUUCACCAAAUUAAUACAGAAAAUUCAUAAAUCCAAUUAGUGAGAAUGAAAUGUAACAGCAAGUGAAAUUAUCUUUAUUAAGCCAAGUUUAUAUAAUAAAGUCUCUAAAAUAAUAUUUAAAAAAAUGUAAUUUGAGACUCCCAUCAAUAGUAUACGACCUAGCAAUUUUUUUGGUACUUUUUCACCCAUUGCCAUGACAACCUAAGGGCAAUUACUAUUACAUAGGAUUAAUUUUAUUUAUAUGUAUGAGAUUAAUAAAUAAAAAUUUGAUAGGUAUGUAUAAAAUAUUUGAAAUUUUUUGAUAAUUUUUCAGAUUUUUCUUUUUUCUUUUUUAUGUUAAUUAUAUUUUUGGUCAUUGGAGUUUGAGUCGAAAUCAAAUUUUGUCGUUGUGAUUUCAAAUUUUCCUAAUUUCGUCAAACGUAGUUGCAGCAGUUAACAAGUCCAAUUCAUCAAUUCCGUAAUUUGCUUAAUUAAAAAAAUAUUCAAUAUGAAAUUAAAAUAAUUAACUUAAAAUAAACAUUAUCUAAAAGAAAUAUAAAAAAAAUGUAACAACAAUUAAAACCAUUAAUCCCGACCGAAUCCCCCCAGCCCAUGAUAACAGAAGAGAGAUUUGGAAAAUAAGGGAAGAAGAAGACUGAGAAACAGAGAGAAUGUAUUAAGAAUUUCUGUAUGAUUAUUCACUGAAUCAAUAUUACAAUGCAUAGUUCAGCUUAUAUACAAUUGUAACUAACAGCCAAUGCUUAACAAACUAACACGUGAAUAGCACGUGGGUAUUCUAACAAUACUAAGCUAAUGUAUUCAUCUAUCAUUCCCCCUCAAAUCCAGUUGGGUUCCCAAGCCGCAAAUUACCACAAUGCUUUGUGAAGAGUGGACUGUGUAACCCUUUUGUAAAUAUGUCUGCAACAUGUUCAUCUGUUGGAAUAUACUGCAUGGAGAGAUCUCUUCUUUGUACUCUUUCUCUAACAAAAUGAAAGUCUAUAUCAAGAUGUUUAAUCCGUGAGUGAUAUACAGGAUUAGAACUCAAUGCUAGAGCAGAAAGGUUGUCACAAUGUAUAGUAGGAGGCUGAGGGAGAAACACUUUCAAAUCAAGCAGAACUUGUCUGAUCCAUGCCAAAUCUGCUGUUGUAUGAGCUAAUGCUCUAUAUUCUGCUUCGGUUGAACUCCUGGAGACUGAGUUCUGUUUCUUAGAUUGCCAAGAGAUAGGAUUAUGGCCUAAGAAAGCCACAAAACCAGUGGUGGAUCGUCUAGUGUUAAUAUCUGCUGCCCAAUCUGCAUCACUGUAGGCAUUAAGUUCCCAAGCACCACUAGUAAAGGUAAGUCCAUGAUCCAAGGUACCUUGAAGAUAGCGUAAAAUCCUCUUAACUAACUGAAAAUGUAGCUCUGAAGGAGUUGUCAUAAACUGACAUACUGUGUUAACAUCAUAAGAGAUUUCAGGUCUGGUAAAUGUUAAAUACUGUAAUGCACCAACAAUGCUUCUGUAGAUUGUAGGAUCAGCCAAAGCAUCACCUUCAGUCUGUAACAAUUGACCAUGUGGUUUACAAGGGGUAGGACAAGAUCGGCAUGAACUCAGACCAGCCUUAGCAAGCAAAUCUUUUGCAUAUUUAGCCUGGUUAACAAAAAUAUCUCCAGCUGUAUUAUAAGAAAUCUGUAAUCCUAAGAAAUAUUUCAACUUCCCCAUAUCUUUCAUAUCAAAAGCUGAGCUUAACUCAUCAACAACUUCUUGCACCAAAGCCACCUUUGAACCAGUCAAUAUUAUAUCAUCCACAUAUAAGAGAAGGAUCACAAUAUCUGAACCUAGAUGCUUCACAAAUAAGCUAGGGUCAGAAUGAGAUGAUGCAAAACCAAUGGCUGGAAGAUAACCUGUGAAUUUGGCAUUCCAAGCCCUUGGAGCUUGCCUAAGACCAUAAAGAGACUUUCGUAACUUGCAAACAUAACUGAGAUGUUUUGGAUCCUCAAAACCUUGUGGCUGACGCAUAUAGACUUCUUCCUCAAGAUCACCGUGUAAAAACGCGUUCUUAACAUCAAGUUGACGAAGUGACCAUCGAUUCAUCGCUGCAAUACUUAAUAUCAACCUUACUAUGGUGUGUCUGACCACAGGGCUAAAAGUUUCACUGAAAUCCAGUCCAGGAGCUUGGCUAAAGCCUUGGGCAACUAAUCUGGCCUUAUAUCUAGCCAAAGUACCAUCUGAGUUUUUCUUAAUUCGAUAUACCCAUCGACAUCCGACAAUAUUUUUAUGAACUGGCUUAGGAACUAACUCCCAAGUACCCUGAGCAUGUAAUGCCUCAAUUUCGUCCUUCAUAGCUUGAAUCCAAAGAAUAGAUUGAGAAGCAACCUUAUAAGUGGCUGGUUCAAUAACAUCAUGUAUAACAGGAAGAGUGGUAUAAUAACACUGAUAAUCUUCAAACUGUUUAGACUUAACAAUACCUGCCUUUGAUCUAGUCUGCAUAGUAUGAGUGUUAAAAGGAGGAGACACAGAACUAGAGACAACAGGGGAGACAGGCAAGAGAACUUGUAGUUGCUGAUCAUUAAUCACAGAUAAGACAGAAUCACUGGAAGACAAAGCAGGAUUCUCAGGAGAUUCUAAAGAAGGAAUAGAAACAUUCUGUAAGCUAUGAUUUUGUGAAGAAACAGGUGGAGAAGAUACAGAACCGGAUAUAGCACUAGGAUUUAAAGCAUGUAUACAUGGAGGAAGUGAAACACAAACUGGUAAAGACUGGGGCUUGGAAGAGCAUGAAACUGGAACGGAAUCUGCUGAGAUGGAAUGAGACUUAAAAGGAAAAACAGAUUCAUCAUGAAUGACAUGUCUGGAAACAACAAACCUUGAGGUGGAUCUAUUGUAACAAAUGACCCCUUUAUAACCUGGAGAAUAUCCCAUAAAAACACAUUGAGCUGUUCUUGGCUGAAGCUUAUGUUCAUUAUAAGGUCUGAUAUAUGGGUAAACUGCAGUACCAAAAAUCCUAAGAGACUUGAUAUCAGGAGCCUUGCCAUGCAAGCUUUGAAAAGGAGACUGGUAUCUUAAAACCGAACUAGGCAUAAGAUUGAUGAGAUAAGCAGCAUGAGCAACCGAAUGAAACCAGAACUGAUCAGGAAGAGCAGAAGCAACAAGUAAAGUAAGAGCAGUUUCAAUAAUAUGGCGAUUCUUCCUCUCUGCCAAACCAUUUUGCUGAGGGGUGUAUGGACAAGAGACCCGAUGAAUUAUCCCUUUUGAAUCCAAAAAAGAAGAAAAUUGCCUACUAAUGAACUCACCACCCCCAUCACUUUGAAAAUACUGAAUAGUAGCUUUAAACUGAUUAGUGACAAGAGCAUAGAACUUGAGAAACUCUUCAAACACUCCAGAUUUAUUAAACAGUGGAUAAAGCCACAAGUAACCAGUACACUCAUCAAUGAAACUAACAUAGUAUCUAAAACCAUCUAUGGAUUUUUGUCGGGAAGGACCCCAUACAUCACUGUGUAUCCUCUGAAAGGGAACAGUAGACUUAACAUGAUCCUUAGGAAAAGACAGCUUGUGCAUUUUACCAUGUAAACAAGCAGUACAUAAUGCUUGAGAACUAUCAACAGAAACAGAUAAAGCAGAAUCUUGAAGCAUUCUUUGCACAACGGUAUUUGUUGGAUGUCCUAACCUUUGAUGCCAGAUAGAGACGUUGACAUGUUGUCCAAGAUAUGCAACUGGAGCUGAAGAAAUAGAAGAAACACCUCGAGAUCUUUGAGAAGCAGAAAAAGGAAUGGAAUAUAAACCUUGAUUACUCUUGCCUUGAAGAAGAAUUGCCUUGGUUAUCUUGUCCUGUAUAUAAAAGCUAGAGACGUCAAAUGUGAUAAAACAAUUAUUGUCUUUACACAAUUGAUGGACGGAUAAUAGAUUCGCUUUGAGCUUAGGAACAUGCAAAACAGACGGAAGAUGUAGUGAAGGAGAUUGGGCACAAGAAAUAGUAGCAGUGCCAAGAUUCUGAAUAGUCAAACCUGCCCCAUUGCCAACAGUAACAUUCUCAUCAACAUUACAAGGAGUCACAUGAUCCAAUUGAGAGGAAUUGCCAACCAUAUGAUGAGAAGCACCACUAUCAGCAAUCCAGACAUGCUCAGGAGAGAAAGAAGUCUGAGCAGUCAUAGCAGUCAGAGAAGAAGGAGGUGCGUGGCCCUGAAAUGAGUAGUUUGACCUGUGGAAACAAUCAAGUGCACCAUGUCCACGUUUGCCACAGAUUUGGCAUUCAACAACAUUAGGAGUAGAAGAAGAGGAAUUGGCAUUGGCAUGACGAAAAUAGCAAUUAGCAGCUGUAUGUCCACGCUUGCUGCAAAUUUGACACUCAGGCACCACAUGAGAUCGAUAAGAAGGAGAACCUCCAGGAAAACCAGAAGUACUACCGCCCCGAAACUGAGAAGAGGCAUGGCGACCACCAUUAAACCUUCCACGACCAGAGGAAUGUGCAGAAAAACCUCGAGAACCAGAGGCACGAGAAAAAGAACUUUGCUGACCACCAAAAGACUAAACAUGUGGCAAAGGCUCAGAAGGUGUACGUAAAAUACCCUGUCCAGAUGACACAGAGGAACCUUGAGCACAAGAGGAAUUAACCGCAUAUAACGCAGUAUGAUGAACAAUACGAGCCUCAGCAGUUUGUUCUGCAGCAAGAAGCUGUGCUCUGAAAUCCUUGAGAGACAAAGGAGUAUCUCGUGCAAUCAAGACAGUCUUGAUUAUGUCAUAUUCGGGAGGUAAGCCAUUCAAAGCAGUAAUAACGAAAUCAUCAUCAGAAAUCUUGAUACCAGCAGCAUUCAGUUGAUCUCGAAGAUGUUUGAGACGAAGCAAGAAUCGCUCGAUGGAAUCUCCACCUUUCUGCGCAGUUUGCAACUCAGUUUUGAGAUGGUUGAUCCGAGCGCGAGAAACUGAAGCAUAGCGAUCAGAGAGAUUAAUCCAAGCAUCGCGAGCCGUUUUGCAGCCAAUGACGUAUUCAAGCGCCUCAUCAGACAGAGAAGCAAUGCGUAAACUCAAAAGUGCCUUAUCAGUACGAAUCCACUCCUUAUAAGCAGUGGUAAGCUCAGAAGUUUCGCCUUCCUCAUCAACAAUGGCGAAUUUAGGAGGUGAAAUCGAAGAACCAUCGAAAUGCCCAAAAAGCUCGUAGCCUUGAAGCACAGAUUCAAUAUGAUAACUCCACUUUAAGAAGUUAUCAUCAGCAAGACGAAUUGUAAGGAGGCCAAGAAGACUCUCAAUUUUGAGAAAAGAAGAAGAAGCCAUGAAGAAAUUAGGGUUUUAGAAAAAAUGUGGAUUCGAAGAAAUGAAAAAAAACUGAGAAAUCUGAGAAAGCUGAGAAUUAGGAAUUGCAGAGAGAGAAGAACAAGACAGAGGAAGGAAGCGGAGAGAGAGAAGCGGAAUAGCAGAUCUGGAUCACCACCAUGGGCGCUGAUACCAUGAUAACAGAAGAGAGAUUUGGAAAAUAAGGGAAGAAGAAGACUGAGAAACAGAGAGAAUGUAUUAAGAAUUUCUGUAUGAUUAUUCACUGAAUCAAUAUUACAAUGCAUAGUUCAGCUUAUAUACAAUUGUAACUAACAGCCAAUGCUUAACAAACUAACACGUGAAUAGCACGUGGGUAUUCUAACAAUAUCACCAACCCCACCCCAUACCCAGCAUCUCCGCCGCCCCAUCCUUCUUCUUCCUCCUCCCACCCACACACCAAAGUUCUACUCUAUCUCUCUCUCACGGCCUCCAUCACCUCUGACGAAACUCAGUCGUCUCCGACGAACUUGAGCUUUUUCCAGGGAAUACCCAAAUGCGGCAAAUGAAUCUACAUGAAUUUGUUUUCUCAGUCUACAUGAAUGAUGAAUCUACUGGAAUUUGUUUUCUCAGGGAAUACUCAAAUACCCGUUAAUCGUGCCUCCUAUGGGUAUUUUUAUGCUCACAAGUUUUGCUGAUUAUUGCUAUGGGUCUUCUUUAUAAACUCAAAAUCUCAUACUUUGGAUGUUUGUGAAAUUGUGAUUAUUACUGAACCCAAAAAUUUAUAAGAGUUUUGGAUGUCUACGGCUAUGAGUAAUUCCUGAAUUUGAUGGAUGAGAGCGAACAAAACACAAGCUUUUAUCUCUGUAACCCAUCAAAAUGUUAUAGAUUUUGGAUUUCUCAUAGUUCCUCCAUUUAAAGAAAUGUAUACAACAUAAUCAAUUAUUUUGCACUCCAAAGUGUGUAUUUUCUGGGAGUGUUUGAUGAGGAGAGAGAAGGAGAUAUUGAGAUGUUCUCAUGUGGGAGGAGGUAGUCGAUCCGCGGUGGGGAUAGGAAGAGAGAGAGGUAGUGAUAAUUUUCUUUUGAUUUAUUUAUUUGAUUUAUUAAAUAUUAAAUAUUUUUUAAUUAAACAAACUGAUGGACUGCUGCAAUUACGGUGACAAAAUUGAAAAAAUUGAAAUUAUGGUCAUCAAAUUUGAUUUCGAGCCAAAAUUCAAUGACAAAAAUUGUAAUUAAUCCGUUUAUCUUUGCUGAGGUCAGUGCCUAUCUAGUCUUGGGCCUUAUCCGGACUGGAUGUCACUGUUGGAGCUGAUUUUGGGAGACCGGAGGCCUUUUGCCUGGGCUAGUUUGUACGCCGGAAUUACUCUUACGCCUAUUCAUUUAUUGCAAAAUUCUACGCUAUCCAUUUAUCGCGAAAUUCUGUAAUAAGUCUUCCAUAUAUGGACCUUGGAAACGGACCACACAUCUCAACAACACGUACACAUAUUCCAAAAAGUGUAAUUGAUAUUGAAAGAAUUUGAUAACAUCAAAUAAUCCAACGGCUGAAACUAUGUCACUUGAAGACCAUAUAAAUACGGACCUUAUUAUAGAACAACUCUCCAUUUAUCACACAUCCCACCUCUUCGAAUCUAUUUCGUCCAAAAAAUUCCUCUCCGAACCCUAUAUCUUCCCUCCCCUUAUGCCAAGAGACCCAGAAUCAAACGUGGGCUCAUCAGCUAUAGCACUCUCCCCCGUGCCCUCGAUUGCUCGUGUGCUGUCGGCGGUCAGGUACUGUUCUGUAGCAGCGACGUCGUCUAUCAGGUACUGUUCUCUCCUCUGGAACUGAGUCGUUAAAUCUUUCGUUCCAGAUCGAUACCGGACCGCGAGUACGCUCGAUCCAGAUCGAAAUUCGUAGGGGGUGAGCGAAUUAGGCAACUGUGGACUAAAUUUUAGUGAUUUUUCACUUAUUACCUCUAUGUGAAGUGCGUAGUUUACAGUUCUCGUUGUCUGGGUUCUGUGAAUAAUAAUAUCUUUGCAGUCUGAAUGCUUUGGGCUACAAAUUAGAUGUGUUCACUUUCAAAUGUUUGUUUCAACACCUGUUUAUGCAGUUUGCAACGUCCAUUGCUCCAGUUAUAAGAAGGACGAGAAGCUGCUGCUGUUAUCAUUUUUGUUUUUCAGACCAAGUAGGGUACAUAACAUUGUAGGAAGUUGAGCAUGAGCGGUGCACCUAAAAGACCUCACGAAGAGAGUGGUCAUUCCUCCUCUUCAAAAUACCCACAUGAUGAUUCAGGAGCUUACCCGAAGCUGUCAUCAUCGGUUUCCAAUGAGUACCAUCCUCCCUAUGAGAUGGCUCAAGAUUCUCGCUUGCCGAAGAUUCCCCGUACAGAAUCCCGUGACCUGGAUAGAAGAUCCCCCAUUCAUUCAAUAUAUCGAAUGCCAUCAACUUCAAAUGAUUUGCAUGUAGAUCAGGCGGCUCCUUCUGAAAACAGAUUGGAGUCCAGAGAUUCCAAGGAUACUAGAGAUCUUCGGUUUGAGAACCGAGACACAAAGACAGAGACGAGGGACUUGUACAGUGAGUCAAGGAGGGAUACACAGAAUGCUAAGGGUGAAAAGGAUGUGAGGUAUGACAGUCGAGGGGAUGACAAUAAGGAGACGAAAUAUGAAAGGGAGAAUUUUAAUGAUGUGAAGGCUGACCUGAAAAUGGAAGGUUAUGUUGUGCCCAGUAGUCACUUGAAUUGGAAAGACUCAAAAGAAUACCAUAGAGGAAAACGGUAUUCUGAUGCCCCAGCUGGAAGUACAGAUGCCUGGCAUCGCAGUAGUACACAAGGCCAUGUUGAGCUGGGAAAGGAAGUCCUUGCUACUGAGGAGCGGGAUCAUGUAGAGGCACAUGAGGCUGUUGGGGAAAAUAAAUUUGAUUCUAAAGGUGAGGAUAAAUUCAAAGAUAAGGAUAGAAAAAGGAAAGAUAUGAAGUACCGGGAAUGGGGAGACAGGGAUAAGGAAAGAAGUGAUCGUAGGAGCACUAUUCCAGUAGCUAACAGCAGUAGUGAGUGCAAAGAACCAGCAAAAGAAGAAAGAGAUUCAGAGAGGUGGGAGAGGGAGAGGAGGGACACCGGCAAAGACAAGGAAAGACUAAGAGAGAGGGAAAGGGAUCAUACCAAGAAAGACCCAUGGAAUGGAGUAGAGAAAGAUGGUUCAAAUAAUGAGAAGGAAGUGGGGGACGGGUCUAUUAGAGUGUCAGAACAGGAAAUUCUGCCAGCAGAGCAGAAGAAACAGAAAGAUUUUGAUAGUUGGAGAAAUGUUGAUAGGGAAUCCAGAGACAGGAGGAAAGAAAGAGAUGUUGAUGUUGAAGGAGAUAGAACUGAAAAGCGCAGUAGGGGCUAUGACAAAGAAUCAGAUGAUGGAUGUGCAGAUUGUGAAGGGGCCACAGACCGAGAUAAGGAAGUUUGUAAUUAUGGAGUUCAGCAGCGUAAAAGGAUGCAACGGUCAAGGGGUAGCCCUCAGGUGGCAAAUCGUGAGCUGCGCUUUAGGUCCCGCACUCAAGACAAUGAAGGGUGUGUUUAAAUAUUUUCCUUUUCCGAUUUUAUUGCAAGUAUGAUGGGUUACUGAUUUCACAUAUUCAAAAAAGUAUGUGAAAAUAUGCUCUAGCAUUUUGAUAUUGCAUAGAUAAACUACUAAUUUUGAACCUAAAUUUAGUAGAUUGAUAAUUGUGUUUGUUUUGCAUAUGGAUUCAGAAAAGCUAUUCGUCUGUAGUAAUCUGUGCAAUGGCUACAAGCAAUAUAUUUUCUAGGUAUAUGCAAAAUUCUUUGGAAGUGGAUUAUCAACUUUUGCAGUGUAGACAAUGAUAUACUGUCUGCACAUAUUAAAAGCAUAAUUGGUGUGAAAAUAAAGUGGCAGUUAUCUCUCCACUUCUUUAUAGGACAUUUGUUUACUGAAAUUAAUUUUACUACAGUUAUCGUAAGUCAUUCGCUGAAAGGUUUAUCUUUUAAUUUUGUUUUUACUGAUUCAAUUUGUAAUUUGGUGGUGUGAAUUAUAAAUGAUAAACAUAUUUGUUACUGCCAUCACUUUAUUUGUUAUCAUAAGUCAUUUGCUAAAUGUAAUGGCAGCCCAAGGUAAUAGCUUGGUAAAGCAAAAAUCUUAUAAUACCAUUAUAAAUUCAAGAAUCAAGUUUAAAUGAAAAGUAUACUUUUCCUUAAAGCGUUGAAAUAUCAACGUACAGCUAUCCUUGUUUUCUUCAGCAAAAUGUCAUUCGUCAGCAUACAGUCAAAUUUGGUUUCAUGUUGAAGUUAAUGGAUAUUCAUUUGUCUUGUGAUGGAAGUGGUGUCCCUCGUUUCAUACACAAUUUAAUUUUGUUUAUGUGUUCUUGUAUUUUGCAGAUCCCAAGGUGCGCCCUUGUAUUCCAUUUUCGUGGAACAAUAAUUUUUUUGUUGGUGAAGUUCUGUAGAUGUCAGCAGAAAUUUAUUUUGUUUGUGCUCUUCACUUUACCCUCCAAUAAAUGCAUACAUGUAUAUGUACAACAUCCCAACCAUAUCCCUUGUUCAUAAAUAAUUUCUUCCAUUCUUGUACACAUUAAUUUAUACACACAUAAGUCUGCACUUAUAGUUUUACUGUGGUCACUGCUGUUUUGAUUAUAUAUACAAAAACCAGAGGUGUUUGUCUAAAUGAAGCUUCAGACUUGAUGUGAUUGAGGCUAUUGUGGUACAUAUAUUCAUCUUUCUGGAAUUCAAUGUGCUGCUUUUGAUGAUCGCAAUUAUAUCAUCUACAAUUAAUGUAUAGGCUUAAUCCUAAUGGGUGGGAUUUCAAUAUCUCAUGAUUAAAGGUUUGAGUAUAUGUCACUGGAAAAACAUUUCUCAGGGUUUUAGCUUUUUCUAUCCUUACCUUCAUUUGUGGUGGGGAAUGAGAUUUAGAACAGCUUUUUCGAGUCUGCCUUUAUUGUUGUGCAUAUCUCCCUUGACUUUGUAGGCUUUCCGACUCUCAAAUUAUUCCAUUUCCAACAUGGCUGGAAUUUUAAUCUUCACAGAAAUCUGACUGGUUUGGAGAUUGUGGUGGGGAAUGAGAUUUAGAACAGCUUUUUCGAGUCUGCCUCCAUUGUUGUGCAUAUCUCCCUCGACUCUGUAGGCUUUCCGACUCUCAAAUUAUUCCAUUUCCAACAUGGCUUGAAUUUUAAUCUUCACAGAAAUCUGACUGGUUUGGAGAUUGUGGAGCUGUCUCUCUAUUUUCUUCACUUGUAAAUGCGUCCUUUCAUUUUGGUAGACUGGAUAUAAGAUUUUGGAAACUUGGUCCUGUGGGAACUUUGCAUGUAAAUCUUGUUAUAGUAGGUUGAUAGAUUAGCCAUCUCUCCCCAAUUUUAAUCCUUGCACGAUUUGGUUGGUUAAAAUACCAUGUUAGGAGGUGGAGUUUACUCUGUUAUUUUGUCAGAUUGGAAAGCAUAUUUUCUGUAAUUCCUUGGAAAUUCUGUUUGAGUUAAUUACACAAACAUCCCCUGAAGUUUGACUUUGUUUGGCAUGUACUAUUAGUAGAACCUCAAACAAACAAGCAUUAGAUGAUAGUGACAGAGCAUGUGGAUGGAAAAUUGCUGCGCAAUCCCAUUUGAAAUGAAGGGGAGAAGAAAACUACUCUGUUGACCCCAACUGCUCGCCAGUUUGAUGAAUCAUUUACUGAUCAACACUAAGGAAAAGAACCCUAAAUGACAUGCCCAAAUCUCAUGUCCUUCUCUCAAUUUUAUCCCAUGCUUACCCUCUCAUUCUGGUGGUUUCAGUGUGGACAAUGUUUGCUAUGGUUGAUGCUGGUUGGUUAAGGGUUGUCUUUCGUGCCCAAAAAUUAGCCUCUUUCAUAAUUUAAAAAUUCUUCUCUCUACCCCCAUGGUGAAUUAAGGUCCGAAAGAAAGGAGCCGUCCCCCUACCGUCAUGGUGAAGUAGUCUGGUUUGAAAGAAGGGAGCUCUGACCUUGUCUGGAAUUCGGAAAGUAAGAAGCAAUAAGAACAAUUGCUUGUAGAGUUGCAUGAUUCAUUGAAUCUAAAGAGACAAAUAUCCAUAAAUAAGCAUUUUCCUAGGGAGGAAAAAUUGUCAAUGAUUUCACAGCCUUCUUUUGGAUAGGUGGACUGGGGGGAUAUUAUUUUUCUUGGGUCAAUGUAUGUUACAUUGUUAUAGAACACUCCAUGAUAAAACAUCUACAUUCUUAGCUUCUAAAUUCUUUGAAAAUAGGUUCCGUUCUAGUUAAUUUUUUUAAACAGAUGCAAACAUGCAACACACUCAAACUGAGCAGGAGAGAGUUAAGAGUGUUUUCUAGUCAUGUAGUAAAAAGUUUUCUUAGCUUUUCUGUAAUAGUCAACAUCAGUAUUCUGUAUUGCAUGGUUAUUGUUGCACAUUGGUUGUGUGCUAACACUGCUAUUGUUUCAGGUAAAAAUGAAGUAUCCUCUGUUGUUUAUAAAGUUGGUGAAUGCAUGCAAGAACUGAUAAAGUUGUGGAAGGAAUAUGAAGUAUCUCAAGGUGAAAAAAAUGAAAGCUGUCUAACUGGUCCAACUCUUGAAAUUCGGAUCCCAGCUGAGCAUGUUACCGCAACAAAUCGCCAAGUAAGAUCUAAAUUAUGUUCGUACGAAAUUGGGCUACAAUGUACUUGUUUUCUUGUGUUUUCGUCGUGAUAAUUUUCUAGUGAUCCUGUGUUCAAACUUUUUGGUAUAUUCUGUUUAUGGUUUCCACAGAGAGUAUUGCUCAUUGUUUGUGUAUUCCUUUGAAUGUACUUGUUUUCUUGCAUUUUCGUUGUGAUAAUUUUCUAGUGCUCUUGUGUUCAAACUUUUUGGUAUAUUUCUGUUUAUGGUUUCCACAAGUAUUGCUCAUUGUUUGUGUAUUCCUUUGCUUCAUAUGUGGUAUGUCAGAUGUGAACAGAAUUCUGUAGGUAUUUGAUAUUAGCAGCUGAUCUAGUCUUCAUAUAUGGUUUUUUUUAUUUUUUUAUUUUUAAUUAUUUUAUUUUAUUUUAAAACACUUUUCUGUUACUAGGUGCUUUUUAGAGUGUAGUCAUUUUUUCUUUCCAAAUUAAUUAACUGCCUUUAUGGGUUGGUUGUACAUUUGUUUGCCCUUCUGAACCAAUUUGUUUUGAAAGUUUAUUGUUCAAUUCUCAUUCUUAUCAGUGUUUAGGUUGUGGAAAACAUUAAUGUUUGCUUUUGUCUAUUCUUCGUUUGUUCUUUUGAUUUGUUUUUGUUUUAUGUUUUUAAUUCCAUUACAUGCAGGUUAGAGGUGGCCAGCUGUGGGGGACAGAUAUAUACACAGAUGAUUCAGAUCUCGUUGCUGGUAUGUGGUUUUAGGGUUGGUUUAAGUUUUUCUUUGUUCAGAUGGUUGGUUUCAGUUAGUAGUGAGUCUAUAUGCUAUAUGACCUGGUCAUGUAUGAAAGUGAGUAUUAAUGGUUCAGUGUUGCUUUCCAGUUCUCAUGCACACAGGAUAUUGCCGACCAACAGCGUCUCCCCCACCUCCUGCAAUCCAAGAGUUGCGUGCUACAGUUCGAGUACUACCUCCACAAGACUGUAAGUGUAUUUCUUGCUUAGUGUGAAUAGGUGCCGCUGUCAAUGUCUGUUACUUACAAAGAAUAUGGACAUGGAAAUUUGAUUGAAUAUACCUCGAAUUUUGAUUUAAAAUGAUUUAAAGCAAUUGUUUAUUCGUUGUACUUGUGAUGUUGAAUUAGAUGAACAACUCAGGACUACUUAGAUUCCUAAAUACGAAUAUCAUUAAUCAUUCAUUCAUUUGCUUACCCAACAAUUAAUACAAUAAGUAUGUUAAUGGUUAAUACAUAUAAGCACUUUUUCAUUCAUAUAUUUAUCAAGCAAAUAGCUUAAUUUCAAUUUAAAAUAUUUAUUAAAAAAAAAUUAUUAAAAUAACAUCAAAGAAGAAGAGAGAAAUAGGUAAAGAAAUAUAAAUAAGUAAUUAGCUAUCAUUAAUUAAAGGAUCAGUUAGUGAGUUCGAAUGUGGUGUCUCAUCCUUGAUGGUUUUAGGGAAUGACGAGAGAUUUCCCGUUGAGGUCAAUUCAAUUCUUUGUGGCACUUGGUCAUCCAGAGUAAAAUAUGGCUUACAUGCAAACAACUGGGAUUGAGGCAUGAGUCAGUGCUUUGCAAAGCAUUUCUGAAGGCCUUUCUGUUUGGAGGGGGAUAAAACUCAAUUUUGGGAGGAUUACUUGGGUGGGAAUUGAAGUGCUUUUCCCCUCCUGUUCUCCCUGCUCUCCUUGAUUGAGAACUUCUCACUUUCAUCCUUUAGAGCUGAUGGAGAGUUUGCUGUGUCUUUAGGUUUGUUUUCUUGCGAGUAAUUUCUUGAUUCUUUUGUUAUGCAUGACAACUUCUCCCCAUUCCUUACGAUAUGGAAGGCCAAAGUGCCUCCCAAGGUGCACUUGUUCAUGAAAGGGUAAAUAUUUGUGAGGUCUGAAUCUGGUGGUGCAUGUCUAGGGUUUUUGAGGGUAUUAGAAGGGCUUAUGGGUGUAUUGAUGUCAGCGAACUGGUAAUCUUGGAAGCCUUCAUCUGUUAGUUAAUAAUAAAAAUGGCUGAAAUUUGGGUCUUUGGUUGAUAGGUUUAUUGUCUAUUUAAAGGGUUGCGCUUGCCGAAUUAUCAUUCUAAGUGAAGAAAAGAUAGCAUUCCCUAUAUUAUAUAGUAAUGAAAUGCCCACGUUGUUUGUUCCAAUUUAAUGGCAGUCCACCAGUUAUUCAAUUAAAAAACCUAAGCUAGUUCUUUUUCAUUUACACACACCCCAAUGAGUAAAUUAAUGCUUUGUUUACUUUUAAUUCUAACAUUUUAUUAGGUUACAUUUCUACUCUGAGAAACAAUGUUCGAUCUCGAGCCUGGGGAGCUGCAAUUGGUUGUAGCUACCGUGUUGAGCGCUGUUGCAUCGUGAAGGUGAUAAGAACUUAAAGCCAAUUUAUUUAUCCUUUUUAAGCGCGUGUGUGUGUGUGUUUGUUUUUUUUUUACACUUUAUGUAAUGGCUAAAUUAUGUAGUGCUUCAUAUGAUUUUGCAGAUGCUAAGUACAUAUUUAGGGACUUGGAUUUAAUAAUUUGUUAGCAUGAACUGGAAACUAGUGGUUUGUAAUGAUUCUUCUGGGCUUAUAGCACUGAUGCUUCUUCCUAAUUAUCUGGUUUUCAGAAGGCAGGAGGAACCAUUGAUCUUGAGCCUUGUCUUACGCACACUUCUACAGUGGAGCCUACCCUUGCUCCAGUGAUUGUUGAGCGUACAAUGACUACAAGGGCUGCAGCUUCGGUAUUAUUCUGACAUCCUCUACUCAGCAAAUGUUUUUUUAUUUCUAUUUUAGUUGAAAAUUUUCUUCCUUUUGGAAUAUGUCCCCUAGUCCAUUUUCCAUUAUUGCAGCCACUUUUUAAGUUUUAAUUUUUGAAACAUGCAAACCACUGCUUAAGGAAGUUUUAUUUAUUUAUUUGUAAUAGAAACUUGUCUUUUGGAUUAUAUGUCCUAUUUCAUUUGCCGUUAUCUCCAGCAGCUGAUUAGUUUAAAUCUUCAAAACAUGUAAGUGGUUUGGGGAUUUUCAUAUUCUCAAGUAUUCAACAUCUUGUGAAACCCUUUCCUGACACAUAAAAUACUGUGAUAGAAUACGGCAGUGAUCUGGAAUUUACACUCAGACAAAAGAGUUGAUUCUUUUGAACUGUAAAAUGUGGUGUGUUAUUGAACAAACCCAGAACAGGAUUUAUGCACACAAAUAUGUACUUGGGUUAGGAAAAUUAUUGUUGUAGAAUUUACCCAUAAGUUGUUGUAAACUUUGGAAAUGCAAUCUUAUGCAAGAAGAGUGACUCAAUGAAGGAUACCAAAUAGUAACUGAAUAUGGCCGCUGCAUUUAUAUGUUUCAAAUGAUUUACAAUAUUAUCUGCUGCAUUUGUGUGAGACCAAUAUUUUAGUUUAGAAAUCUUUAUGAAGCAGAGUUCACAAUGAUUUCAUCCAUACGUAUUGCUCCCAAUACAACUUUUGGUAAACUGCUGGCAAUUUAUGUGUUGUGUUGAAGAUCUUGCAACUAAUUUUGACGCAGAAUUGGUGUGGGCCUUCUAGCAAUCCAUGAGGCCUUUUGCAUUUUGUAUUAUAAAGUGUAGAUGUAUGGAAAAUGAAUUUGAACGAUGUUCAGAGUAGUUUACACUGGAAAUCAAUCAGCAAUAGAUUUUCCCAAAUGUGUGAAACUUUCUUUCAAUGUUUUUGCUUUGUUAUUAUUAAUUGUAUUUGCACAUAACGUUUACCUCAAAGGAAGGUUCAGCUCUAGACAUUCUUGAUAAUGUGCCCUUUUUGUUAGUGGGUUGGCAUGUAGAUCUAUUAUAGUAAUUAUGUCUUGAACUUCUUUGGUCUUGCAUUUAGUAGCCUUCAACAUUGCGGUUAUACAGCUUUAAGACAGGUUUGAUCUGGUAGGUCAGGCCUUAAGCUUUGCCCUCGUGUUUUGUUUUGAGUUGGCAACAGGCAAGAAUGCCGGGUUUGUGAUUAUUUGGAGGGUAUUUGGGAAUGUUUCGUCAUUUUAAAAAGUUGUUUAUGGAACUAGAGUUUGAGGGGUUGGAGAUGUGAGAUGAGGUGGAGUUUCUCUAGGAGAGUUGUUUGAGGUUGAAUUUUGUUAUUGGUUGUCUUCUGAGAUCCAAUACAUCUUAUUCUGGUCCUCAUGAUUUAUGCGACUUAAGUUGAAUUUCCUUCCUUUUGAGGGUUUAGAACUUUCUGCUUUGGAGGCUAAUUAUAAUGUUCUGAGGUGCUUGUAUUCUUGGGCAAUAAAGACUAUACCCUGUUUUUUUCUUUGGUCUGAUGGUCUACCCUAUUGUUUUUCAGUUUUUGUCUGUGUUCUGCCUUUAAGUUUGUAAUUUUCUCUAGCCUUCAACGUUCAUUGGCAAUGGAAGUACGAAAGGCCUCCAUGAGACUGGGUGGCGAGAGCAAACAACCUUAAGCUUUAUUUGGGGUGAACACAUAUACUUGUUAAACAAUGCCACCUCGCCUUACAUUUUUCUUUGUUUGCUACGAUGGGUUUAUCCCUCUAACUUUGCUAUCUUUUCUUGAUUACAUCUUGCUAAGGUAAGAACUCAACUUCUAAUGGCCAUUUUGACCGAUGUAUGAUUUAUUUGAAAGUGCAUGUCAAGUUUUUCUCAACUGCUUUCAACAUUUUUUUCAAGUUAAUGCAAAAGGUGCUAUCACUUAAGUUAAUUGUAAUUUGUAAACAGUAUAACCAUGGUUAGGCAGCGCCACCGUAACCAAUUUAAAGUUUACAUGCAUAUGCAUGUACUAUUGAAAAAAAAAUUCGUUUGUUAAAUUUCAUCAGAUGAUUUUUUACUUGUGCUUAUGUUUAGAUUUCCAGUCAUUACUGCAGUGAUAUAGUUUCAUACUUGGAUUGUAUAUCUGUGUAUUGUCAUAUGAUUUUAAUCUUAUAAAAACUCAUGACCUUUCAACAAUCAUCACUAUUUCCCAGCUUACAUAAUGGCUUUAUUCUUCAGAAUGCAUUGCGGCAACAAAGAUUUGUACGAGAAGUUACAAUACAGUACAACCUCUGUAAUGAGCCUUGGUACACCACAUCUUUCUUACCCUUUAAUUCUGUUGAGCCUUGGUUUUCAGAUGCUUGUAUUAACUACAAACUUGCAUUCUCUUUCGUUAUGUGGAAUGAAUUUCAGACGUGUGCUAUAUUUUAACCCAAGCAAUGACAUUCUCUGCCUGUAUAACUAUCAAAUAAUAUCUUUUAUAUUAUAGCAGGGGUUCGUCCGAGUGCUUAACGGUGUUUAUCAUGUUUGCAUCUCAUGCCUUAACUCCCUCAGUUCUCUUGGGCAGCUGUCAGAUUCUUUGAAAAUAAUUGUCCACUUUUAAUUUGUUGAUGACUCACCUUGUUAUAUGUUCAUUUUACCAUACAGACUAAUGUUUUAUGCAUUCAUAAUACUUUUUUUGGUUAAUUAUAUUACACUAGGUUGAUACUCAUUUGUUCGUUUGUGGAGAUAUUCUUUUGGUUUUUCUUGAACUCAAUCCCCCGUAUACGUUAAACGAGGUUUCUUUCCACUAAAUAUGAACCUCAAUUAACCUCGUUUCUGUUUGGAUCCGAUAUAAGUUUUCUUUUCUUUUUUAGAAUAAAAAAAAACUCUUGAUUUUCAAGGUUACAGACAUUCAAGGCAUCUAAUGAAUAAUCCUUGAAUCUCAGUGUUAGUGCUCUUGUGGGAGAAACUUCUUAUCUUUUCAAAAUUGCAUCUUGUGCUGUCUGUAACAGCUCAACCUAGGAAUGCAUGUUAACUGCUUCACUCAAACAUAAUGUGUGCAGUAUGGCAACUAUUUUUUUUCCUUUUUCGGAAAAGAUUAUUAAAGACUAUGCACAAUACGCUCAUGAGAAAGCCACAGCCAAAUUACAAUAAGAAAGAGCUGGACCAAACACUCUAAUCCAAUGGGACGCAGCUUAUGAUGUUACCUGAUUUGGAAUUUUGUUAUUGUAGUCUUCUCAAAAUUUAAACUUUCACAGAAAUAUUUUUUCUUUUUACUUCAUCUUAUGUGUUUUGCUGCUCAUUUUUUCUUUCUUGUUUCCCUAUCCAUCAAUGAUUAUUGCACCUUCCUAAGUUCGUUCUUUCAAAUUUCUUCAGGAUUAAGUACAGUAUAAGCAUUGUUGCUGACAAGGGUUUGAAGAAAACUCUUUAUACUUCUGCCCGUUUGAAGAAGGGAGAAGUUCUUUAUUUAGAAACACAUUCAUGCAGGUAUAAUGCUAAUUAUAUAUUGUACUAUGUAUCUGGGAUUUGACCAUGAUCUGUUUUAAGGACUAAUAUUUGAUUAUCACAUAUUUUUCUUCAUUUGUUUUGGCUACUGAAUGUUACGUAACAUAGGAGAUGAGUUACUUGUAAAUGAGGGAACAUUGACAUUUUCCUUCCUAUUUCUAGUUUGUUUAGCUAAACAACAUAACUGAGGAGAGUUUGAUUGCCUAUAAAAUACGGACUUCUGUCUUUAUUCUUUGUCUUUCCCCCUUUUUACGUUUCUUCUUAUUUUCCCUGAUCUUGUUUGGUUUCAUGAUCAUAUGUUCCUUUGGGAUUUGGCAAUAUGCAUGUGAUAUGGUUUCCUCUUUUGUUAAUAUUGAAUUUGUACCUUUUAACUGGUGGUUCUUUUUUAUUUUCCCUCAUUCAAAUCCGGUAUGGUUCUUGGUCAUAAGUGAGUUAUAAACAUUUAGUUAGGGAAAAAGAUAAAGCAGAAACUGUAUCUUGGUGGUGGGCGAGGAUUCUAAAGAUGCUGCAAUACAAAGAAUCAGAAGAAUUAAUUGAGUUGUUUAUACAGAAAGUGAUGUAGGAUGCAUCGCAUGGAUUAGGAAAUGUCUUGUUGCGCGUAAUAACUUUCAAGAUAAACUUUUCAGAAAGUACGGGAAUUUUUUUUUUUUUGGGGGCCAUAUCUGGAUGGAGAAUUGUGAUAACAAGAGUUUCAGAAGCUGGGGUCUCUGGGGCUUUUAGAAGAUCAUUAUGUCCAAUGGUCUGAUUGGAAUUGUUGGCUUACCAUUUCUAGUAUGCAAGAAACUGGAAUUGGUCUAAUUCCUUGAUCCCUUGUUAUAAAUGACCAUGGGCAAGCAUUUGAAAUCAACAUUAGUUUACAGCAUUUAACUGUCUGAAGCAGUUUCUACUUGAAUCAUUUUCGCCCAUCUGUUCUACCAAAAAAAAUAAAAAAGGUGCCUUACAGAAAAUUAUGUAGAAUGUUGUGAGCAAAACAUUAUUCUUUAAGUGUGUUGUAUUUUAUUAUCUGAAGGUAUGAGCUUUGUUUUACCGGAGAGAAGAUGGUCAAAGCUACACAGCUAUCACAGAUGCAUGAAGGUGAGACAGAGAAAAGUCAAAAUCAUGUAUCUCAUUCCACCAAUGGUGAAAGAAAUGAUUCUGAUAACAUUAUGAUUGAUGUCUUUCGAUGGUCUCGAUGUAAAACACCUCUUCCCCAGAAGGUCACACGGUCAGUUGGGAUCCCACUGCCCCUUGAAUAUGUGGAGGUACUACCAAAAUUUAAUAAUGUUUCAAAAGCGGAUAAUCUUUAUACUGAAAUUCUGUGAUUUUGUUUUCUUGCUUCACUGUAUGAUGUGGGGAUGUUGAAAAUCUUUAUUUAGUGCCAUCCAAUCUUGCAUGUUGAAGUCUUUAGGUGAAUAUGCAUAAUAACUGCAGAGAGACAAAUUGCUAUUGUUAUCAAUGUCACACACACACACACACACACGCACACACACACACACACACACACACACACACACACACACACACACACACACACACACAUACACGCGUGCGCAAGCCUUCUUCCUUCGAAUCUGUGCUAAAACAGAAUCAACAAUUUGAGAUCAUCUACUUUUAUGAGAGAAGGUAUUGGCUAUGCUGCUUGGUUUGGUGCCUCUUGAUGGGUUAUAUGUGAACUAGAAUUCUGAUACACGCUUUUAGAUGCAUGUUGCUGCUAGUUAUUUUGUUGAUAAAUUUCACCCUUAAUAUAUUGUUACUUGUCAUAGUUUUUUUGAGCUUUCUUCCUGGUUAGGUGUUGGAGGAGAAUCUCGACUGGGAGGAUGUCCAAUGGUCACAGACUGGUGUUUGGAUUGCUGGGAAAGAAUAUACACUUGCUCGGGUGCAUUUUCUGUCGACAAAUUAACCUAUGUUUUAUAUUUUUCUCAAUUUGUUCGAACAACAAUGUUUCUUGACUUCUUUUCUUGCCAUCCUGAUUUAAUGUAUGAGUUUGGUAUAAUAUAUUUUACUCAAUGAUGACGCUUAUACAGUUAUAUAUAUUACUAUUUAUUCCCCUUUCUUUGUAAUUAUAAGCAUUUUCCCCUGUAAUUAUGUUCUCUGAUUCCAUUUUGGGAAAAAUAGAAAUAAUUUACCAGCACCAGGGAUUUGAUCAUAAUUUCUUGGAGAAGCAUUCAAGCUUUCAUCAAGCUGUUUCUGUUUCUCUGAACAUAGUAAUUCAGUUACAAAGAAGAGAAGUCGGAACUUUUCCUAAUGUAAUGUACAUAACAAUGUUAAAAUCAACUGGGAAAUGUCGUCAAUGAGGUUUAAUUCAUUUGUUGCUCCCCAAAAGACUGACGACAUGUUUACUAAUUAAUAACAUUAGUCAGAGUGACCAUGAGUAACUCCAAGGUACUUUUAUUAAAUUGUUUGGAUUCAAAAUAAAAAUGUAAAUAACUCCUAUUAAAUUGUCUAAAUUGUCAAGAAUUGAAUACGAAAACUAGUUUGACUACAAAAGGAAUUAUAUUUUACUUACAACUUGAUAGUUUCAAAUCUUCAAGUGGUGUAGAUAUGGGCUUUAGUCAAGUUGGCUAGUGGCUAGAGGUUAAAGCAGAUAUGUUCUUCACUCUGCACACAGAUUCGAAUCUCGUUCCUAUUAUUUAGAUUAUAUUAAAGUAUAAUAUCACUUGUAUAAAAUAAACUUAAAUAAAAGUCUUCAAGGGGUAGAUUACUCUCUUUGAUAAUUGUUUAUGCAAAUAAUCUCGCGAGAGAAUAUUUGCUUCUAGAUUCUUCAACCUUCGAUCUUCUUUCUCUCUCCUCCUCGAUUUCUGUAAAAAAGAUUGGAGUAAAUAGACCACACCCGGGGGGUGUUGGCCAAAGGCCUCCCGAUGCCUAAGUUAGUUCGAGUGUUUGUAGGAAAACAAUAGCUAAGCAAAGGUACGGAGUUGUAUGUAGGGUGUAAACCGAGUGGCCGGAGCAAAUAUGGAGAGUGGAGAGGGAGAGAGAGCUUCGGGUAUUUUUCUCGGGUAUUAGGAGUAGGUUUUCUGAAAUACCUUGAAUGAUGAAUGAGGUCGUCUAUUUAUAGAAGUCUCGGGGCUAGGGUUUCGUAGGAAUCGGACUUGAUAAUAUUCGAAUUAAUGAUAUUAUCUCUUUUUAAGAAGAUAAUAUCUGAAUUAAAUGAUAUUAUCUUCUCUUUAUUAGGAUAAUGGCUGAAUUAAUGAUAUUAUCUUUUUAAAUAAAGAUAAUAUCAUAUUAAUUAAGAUGUUUAUCCUAAUUAAUUAAUUAGCCAGAUAAACUGGUUUAAUUAAUUAAUUUAAGAGAUAAUCUUCUUUUCCACGUGGCGUGCCCUGAUUGGAGACGAAAAUAUAUGCUCCCACAAUAAUAUUUAUGAUACAUGAUAUAUUUAAAAAUAUUUUCUUAUAAUUUUGACUAUUUACUUGCAAUAUAUUUAAUAAUCUAAACAAUAAAUAGAUAUUAAAUAAAGCAUUCUAUCCAUACAAUUAUUUUGGAAAUAUAUUUCUAAUGAAUUAAGAAAAAAAAAUUACCACAAUAAUAUGGCUAAAUUGUUCCUAAAAACUAAAAAAAGGAUAUGAAAAAGUGACUGUACUUUGUUAAGUUGCAACAUAGCAUGUACCUCUUCGCAAAAUUGGAAAUCACUGUUUUUGAAAAAAAAAUGUUGUGGAUCUAAAAAUGUGUUUGGUAUUGUAAUUCUACAAAUGUUUUUCUGAGAACAAAAAAUAAUGAAAACUUUUCUGGUGUCAAUAUUAAAAACAGAAAAAAAAACAAGAAAAGAAAGUAAAUAUGCUUUUUUAUAUAAAUAUAAGUGUUGGUUCAAGUGUGAAGAGGUUUGGAAUAGUUGGUUAGUGCUGGUGUAUUAGGAAUUAGAAGGACUUGGACUUAGAUGGAUAGACAAUUGUUGUUUUUCAGCUUAAGAGCAUCCGCAAUGGUGAGGGUCAUUUCAAUUUUAUUUCAAAAACCAUCGCAAAAUGAAAAAUCGUGGAAUAUCCGGACCCUAUACUGAGAGCAAAGAACAAGAGAAUCAAUUCAUCUUGGCAUUUUAAUAGAAGAGAGAGAGAGAGAGAGAGUAUUUUGGCAUUAAAAAAAAUUAAAUAUGGAUAUUUUCGGCAUUUUAAAAGUUUCAUUAAGGGGAGUCAAGUGCUUUCUGUGUUUUUGUCCUGUAGCGCUUUUAAGAAGAAGCUCCUCUCAAGUGCUUCUUCCAAAACCACUCCACGUGCUUUUGGAUCUCACUCAAAGUGCUUAUGCAAUUUUUGCCAAACACCAUUUUUAAAAGACAGAAGCGUUUUCACCUAUUUAGAAGCGCUUUUCGCUGCUCCAAAAGCACUCCUAAAUGAGCCGUAACUCUACAGCCUCUCUCUUCUGUGGACAACAUUACUUUUAAAAUUUUUUGUUAUAUUUAAUUAGUGUAAACUAGCCGUAAUUUUUUUUUUUUCAAAGCAACUAGUCAUUCUUGAUGGGUUAAUGACUGAAAUGGUCCCCCAACUAUUGCUCCAGUAUCAUUUUGGUUCACCAACUAAAUUUUUCAUUUGAAUCGUCCUUCAACUCUUUAUUUGGUAUCAAGAUGGUCAUACCCUGAUUGAUUCUGUCACUUCUGAUCACGUGAUUGAGUUUUGAAGGGUAUAUGCAACUUUUUGAGAAGCUCUAUCCUUUAAAAGCAAAAUACCUACAGUUUGGUCCAUGUUUCUCUUAUUUUAGAAGAUUACCGUGGACUGAAAAGGAUUCUUAUGUGAGUUGCUGAAUUGGUCGAUACUCUAGUAGUGUGCGAGUCGCUGAAUUGGUCAAGUUAGUGCGUAAUUUCAAUGUUAAUUUUGGAGUUCGAAUUUGGGAGUUUGGAUUAGGGUUUGAUUUUGGGAAAUUCACUACUUGCUAAUAAUGGAGUUUGAAUUCCUUUCGGGUGGAAAGACUUCUAAAUAUGGUAUGGGCUUCUGUAAUGCAUUUUAUAUUGUUUUUGUCUACAAAUAGAUGAGUUGUCCUUGUCUGUAAGUGGUUUCUUUAUGUGUAAAAGAUUCCUUUUUCAGUGUUUGUGUUCGGCUUUUUGGUUGUUUUAUGUUUAAAGUAAGGGUAAAGAGAUUGUUUUCCUAUAUGUGGGUUUGUCUUUUGCUACAUUGACUGCAGAAUAUGGGGUUUUUUUUAAAUGUCUAUGGUCCCUUGGUUGUCUACUUCACACCCAACUCAGUAAUUGUUGUCCUUAGCAUUAACAACAAAACUAUGACUUUAAAUUAACAUAUUGUUGUUUCAAUUUUGCAGCUACCAAUGGAAUGUGCACUCUAGGUAUUGAUAUAAGUUUGGGAUAUGGUUUUCCAAACCCACCACAAGGGUACCCCUAGUUGCUUUGAAAUAGUGUCAUUUAUGAAUAAUGCCCCACGUGUUUUGGGAACUCCUAAACCGUACGGAGCGAGGAAUGCUGCUUGGCCAGUGAGGAUUGCAGCACGGCCUGCGAGGCUUUCAGCUCGGAUAGAAAUGGUAUCUCUAAGGCCUGCGACGAUUGCGGCUCGAAUAAAAGUGGUGUCUCUGAGGCCUGCGAGGAUUGCAGUUCAAGUAGACUUGGUGUCUCCGAGGCAUGCGAAGAUGGAAUUGAUGGAUUAGGAAUGGGGGUACGCCUAGGUGGAGAGAAUUUCAGUUUUGAGAUGUUCUUAAACUAAAAUAGAGAUAGUUCAAUUUAUGGCUUAUUUAUAAUCAGUAUAUGACUGUUACGAGUAUUGGGAAGUUGCAAAGUAUUGUUGUAGAGUUGUGAAUAAGAUGUUCAAUUACAUUAUUAAAGGGAAAGAACUACGUGUGGCUUGAUCCCUCAGUAAGGGUACGUAGGCAGCCUAAUGUUACAAGGUGCAGCCACGAGGUCAAGUAAUAAAAGGUAGUCCAGUUAAGUUAUUAUGAAAUCUAACACUGUUCUGGGGAUGUUAUAAGAAAUUGAAUUGAAUGUUGUUAGCAGAAUGAUUUAUUCGAUUUAUUGAGACUGGAGGCCAGAAUAAUAUGAUGCUUGAUUUUUGGAUAUAAUUCGAUACAUGCUUGCAGUUGGGUUAUAUAUAAACAUAUAUGCUUGUUUUACAGGUGGGAUUUUUUGGGAAAUGUUCAAUUUACAGGGGAGACUCUGCCGAAUUUUCGGCAGAAGUUGUACUUGAAUUUCAUUGAAUUUUGGUUAGAAGGGGAAUUUGGUGAAUUGUGUCCUGUAACCGUCAGGUGUCGAACACGCACAGGGUUCGACUUGGAUUUCAAAGUAGAAUUUGGGUCGGGUCCUGUCACAUGGAGGAGCAGAUAUGGACAACACUUCCCAUAAUAAUAACAUGGCCUGAAAAUAGGGGAAAUUAUUGCCAAGGGUGUCAUAUGUUGUCUAUUUUGGAUAUGUACUUUUAUGGGAAGGAAGAUUUUGUGUAAUUGGUUCUGAUUCUGAGUUUAGAUUGUGUAAUUAGUUUUUGAGUUUGAAAGGCUAAAAGUGUGUAAUUGGUUGUCUAUUUUGGGUUGUGUACUUUUCUAGGCAGGAGGAUUUUGUGUACUUUGAAUUGGUUUUGAGCUAGAAUGGCUCAAAUUGUGUAAUUGGUUGUCUAUUUUGGGUUAUGUACUUUUCUAGGCAGGUGAAUUUUAUGUACUUUGUCUAACUAGUUUUGAUUUUGAAGGGCUCAAACUCUGUAAUUGGAAUGUUUAUAUGGAUGUUCACUUUGCAAAUAGCCCGUGUGGUCAAGAAUGGAAUGGCUUUUAAUUUGUUUAUACUCAGUGGAAUAUUAAGUUAUAUGCUUCUCCUAGUUAUUCAAAUAACCCCAAUUCAAGAAAAUUUGAGAACAUGGGUAAUCACCUAAAAAUACGGUUUUGUCCCUCGAUUUUAUGGAAUAAUACAUAGACUUUGACAGUAGGACCAUCUUGAUACCAAAUAAAGAGUUGAAGGAUAGUUCAAAUGAAAAUUUUAAUUGGUGGACCAAAAUGAUACUGGAGCAAUAGUUGAGGGACCAUUUCGGUCAUUAAAAAAAACAAACAUCUAGUUAAUAUAUAUAUUAGUCAUUAUUGAUUUAUUUCACUUUUCAAAAGAAGGAUAGCUAAUUAUAAAUACUACUCACUACUAAUUUAUUUCACUUUUAAAAAACACAAAUGGCUAGUUCCCUUUAAAAAUGGCUAGUUACUUACCUAUAAAUACACAAAUGACUUAUUCAUAUUCAGUUUUGUUAUGCAAUAACCUGAUGAAGAGGUGCUAUGAUGUGUUCCCCUUUAAUCUCAACUUCCAAUUCUUCAUAAAAAAAAAGUGUUAAUAUAAUAUUCUUACCAACUAAAGAAAAUUUUGUUAUUAAUUAUAUAUAUAUAUUCAAAAUUGGUGUCUUUUUAAAGAUCUCUUUAAAACCAUUUUAUUGUAUAAUUCUCAUUGUAAUGAACUUUUUUCAUAUUAUUUUAUUUAAUCAUUUAGAAAGAUAUUUUUAAAAGAGGUAAUUACAUUUUUUGUCACUAGGGUUAGGGUCGAAUUUAAAUUUGGUUACCAAAAUUUCAAUUUUCUGAUUUUGGUCACUGUAUUUACAACUGUUAACAAAUCAAGUCAAAUGUUUGAAUUUCGUCAAUUUCAUAAAUGAAAAUAUAUUAAAUAUUAUUACUUGAAAUAAAAUUCAAUAUUUCAUUAAAAUAAAAAUAAAAAUCCCAAGUUCUCAAUUCCCCGAUCAACCCUUCUUCCCCACCUAGCUCAACCAACCCACCUCUUCGCUCUCAAUCGGCCCUAUUCCACUGAAAGCAAAUCAAAACCUUCCCACCUCUCUCUCUCUCUCUCUCUCUCUCUCUCUCUCUCUCUCUCUCUCUCUCUCUCUCUCUCUCUCUCUCUCUCUCUCUCUAUGCCCCGAGAAAAUUCAGAGCUUAUAAGAAUGAAAGUGUAGGGGCCAAAAAUCAUAUCCCAUGUAAAAGGCCCAACUAACAUGUCAUGAUUACAAGGCAGUGAAGAUGUGGAUUAGUUGGACCUCUCUCGCACUAGAAAAGUAUGGAGCAAGGAAGGUGUAACCCGUUCAAGCUCUUUACGAUUGUGAAAUGGAGGACGAGAUAAGCAAACCUAGGGAGGUGAAGCUUUGGAGAGCUAUAAAAACCCAACGGAGACUCAACCAAAGGUACGAGAAAUUCAAUUGAGCACUAAGAGUUAGCUGCACAAACACUGACUUGAGCGUCGGAGUGGCUUUUGCAUGUAUUCUCCCAAUUUCCAUCGUUCAAUCUCUGAAACGCAAUCCGAAGUUCCUUUUAACCAAGGAAGUGUGCAGACUUCAGUCAAGAACCUGUGUAGGUAUUACUUCUUGAAAGAAAUCCUGCUCCAAUAGUUGGCACCGUCUAUAAGAAUCUCGUAAAAUCGAUCCUAAAGAAUGACUGAACCCGCACAAGGAACUCCAAACACAUCCAUCCCGAAAAAUGCAAUGUCCAAUCUUUGACCCUGAAGCACAAGGUCUAGCGCUCAGGGUGGAGAACCAAACCUUGCAGUUACCCAGUUGAAGAAAAUCAUGAAAGAAUCGCGUGAGACUAGAAAGGUGUAGAACGUGGCUUGCCAUGAAGGCUCUAAAGAAGGCAAGAGGAAGUAGAGACAUGAGGUCUUUGUGAGAGACUCCUCCAACAGCACGCAUUCGAGCGGCUGCAAAAGACCAUGACAGAAGAUCAAGACAGAGAUCUUUACCUACAGAAAAAUGCGAAAAGGGUGAAGGAUAUUAAUUUGUGCGGCCACAUAGAGAAGAUUGUUAGAGGGUACAAACCACAAAUAUUCGAGGAACUUGCCUUAGAAGUAGCGAACGGAAUCUGCAAGUCACCAUUCACAGAGGAUAUCCUGAAAGCAAAAAAGCCUGCCAAGUUUAGUCAACCUAAAUUCAACCUAUUUGAGGGCACCACCGAUUCCAUUGAACAUAUCUAUCAUUUUCAACAGCAAAUGGUGCUCGAAAGAGAUGAUGAGGCCUUGUGUGUAAGUUGUCACCUUCAAGCUUGUCGAGAUCAGCCCUAAUUUGGUUUAGACAGCUAAAACCAAGGUCUAUCUGCUAUUUCACCCAACUAUGUGAAAUGUUCAUAUCCCAGUACAUUUGCAAUCAAAAGAGGAGGAAGAAUGUCACUAUCCUAUUCAACACGAAGCGAAGUAAUUGAGAAAGCCUUAAAGACUAUUUGAGGAAUGCGAUUCUCAUACUGCUUCGCUGGAGUUUCUUGAGGGGGUAAUACCUGGGACAAAAAUGCAUUGAUCUUUAGUCAACAUCCUACCAGUGGAUAUGAGGGAAGUGAUGGCUAGGGCAUAUGGAAUCAUCAAACUAGGAGAAGAGGAAUUCACCCCGUCAAAGUGCUCCACUUCAACCAUUGUGGUCCCGAAGCCUCCACAGAAAAAUAAGUAGAAAUAAAAUGAUAUUUUUCGAGAGAGAAAGCUAGUAAUGGAUCUAAGUGAAAUUGACCCUUCACCAAACUCAUGGUGAGUCUGGCCAAACAUUUCCAAGAGAAUAAGGGAAAAUCUAUAUUUCGAAUACCAUCGACGAUCUGCGAAUCCCUAGAAAAGUGAAACAGAAACAAGAUGUGCGCCCAUCACAACGACUUUGGGCACACUGUCGAUGAAUGCCGAAGCCUUAUGUAUUAGGUGAAGGCAAUGCUGUGAAAUGGAAUGUUAUCCCAGUACUGCGCUGAACUUGAGAACAGGGCAAGUGAAGAAGGUGGAUCAUAAACAAUGACCAGGAAUAUCGCGAAUGAAGAACUACUGGAUAUCAACACCAUUCACGAUAGACCAAAUCCCGCAUAAGGAAAAGAGGUCUAAUCAUGGUAUGAAAGAAGACAAGCAAAAAAGGUGAGACGCAUAAAUAGGAUUGCAUCAACCUCCAAAUCUGCCAAAGCCUUGGAAAAUGUUAGGGUCAUCUCAUUCGUGCAGAAAUACAUAGAAGAAAUUGAGUUCCUCACAACGAUGCAUUAGUGGUGACCCUCCACUAUGCCAAUUCGAGAGUAAAAAAAGUAAUGAUUAACGAGGGAAGUAGUGCAGACGUGAUAUUUUGGAAGAAUGAAGUUGGAUGAGAAGGAGAUCCAACCAAAUCCAACGCCGAUCUACGCAUUUGAGGGGACAAAAGCAUAACCAAUCGGAGACGUGACUCUACCCUUCAUUGUCGCAGGUAAGACCCUAUUUUUUAAUUUCGUAGUUAUGGAUGCACCGAGUGCGUAUAAUGCUAUAAUGGGAAUAAAUUGGAUUCGCCGAAUGGAUGGAGAAGCAUCGACACACUGCCAAGUGAUUUGGUGCCUAUCCGAAGAUGGGAAAACCACUGUUGAUAUCAAUGGGGAUCAAGUGGAGGCCAGAAGAUGCUACAACAUAGCAACAAGUCUUAAGACUACGACUCCACAGCAAAGUGAGGGUUUAUAGUAAUUAACGGAGGACCCACUAGAGUAAGAAGAUGAGGAUUAUUCAGAACUUCCAACGAUCGAACAGCUCAAAGAGGAAGUUCUAGAUCUUUCUUAUCCCGAUAGAAAAGUGUUGGUGGGCUCCCUCCUACCUAGAGACGAGGUAAAACAACUACUGAAAUUAUUAAGAGAGAAUAUGGACGUAUUUGCGUGGUCACACUCAAACAUGCCAGGGAUUGACCCAGAGGUGGCAUGUCAUCGGUUGAACGUCGAUUCCAAACCACCCGCCUGUACUAGUAGAGGCAGAGGAGGUUCACGCCUCAGGGGAACCAAAUUAUUAGCGAAGAAGUAGACCGACUACUUAAGGUGAGAUUCAUUUGAGACGUGUGGUAUUCGAUCUAGGUCUCGAAUGUGGUCGUGGUAAGUAAAAAGGAUAGGAGAUGGUGUGUGUGAGUAGAUUACAUCAACUUGAACAAGGCGUGCCCAAAAGAUUGCGAUCUGAUACCAAAGAUCGAUCAUAUGGUAGAUGCUACACCUGGAUAUGAGCUUCUCUGAUUCCUAGACGCUUAUUCGGGUAUAACGAAAUCCCAAUGGCAAUUGAGGACCAGGAAAAGACAGCCUUCAUCACUGAAAGGGGCUUGUAUUGUUACACGAUGAUGCCGUUUGUGUUGAAAAACACAGGGUCGACAUAUCAAAGAUUAGUGAACGGAAUGUUCAAAUACCAGAUUGGCAAAACGAUGGAGGCCUACAUUGAUGACAUGGUCGUCAAGAGCCAGGAAAGAUCCCAACAUGUCAAACCUCUACAAGAAGUCUUUGACAUAUUGAGAAAAUAUCGAAUACGGCUUAACCUGAAGAAGCAAGUGUUUGGUGUUUCGUUAGGACAGUUCUUGGGGUAAAUAGUGAACAAGCGAGGCAUCAAGCCCAAACCCAUCGAAGGUGGAGGCAUUGUGGAAUAUGCCUGAUCUAAGGACACCUAGGGAUGUGCAGGUUCUAAUUGGACGAAUAGCAACCUUUAGCCAAUUCAUUUCGAUAUCGUCCGAUCACUUCAAGCAAUUUUUCCAGACAAAAAAGAAAGGAGACAUAUGGGUAGGGGUGGGUACGGUCCGGUUCGGUCUGGUUUGUAGCUCGCACUGAAACUGAAAUUGGCACUAUUCAUCUGAUCUGGUCUAGUCCAAUUUUUGAGAAAAACAGGAGAGAAACCGGAUCAAGCCGAACUGGCUAUUUCAGGUUUGGUUUUUUGGUUUUUCGGUUUGAGCCGGUUCUCUGGCAAGUCGCAUACAUAGUAACAAAAGAAACAGGGAGAUCAGUAGAGAAUAAGGAAAAAUUAAAAAAUAAAAACUUAAAUCUAGUUAAGAAAUUUUUACUUCUCUGAAACCCAAAAAAAAUUGAUCCAAAAUAUUUGAUUUUUGCAUUCAUUCUCAGAUCGCUCGGCAGCAAAAUAACCCUAAACAAUCCAAUGCUAGGUAAACCAGAAAUCAUAAACAAAAGCCAAAAAAAAAAAAAUUACAACACACCAGAUCUAAUGAAAUCAACAACAAAAAAAAAAAAUUGAAUACAACACCAGAUUUCUCCUUGCAUGAGACUCUGAUGCUUGAAUCUAGUCUUAGGAUCUUCGUUAGCAGAAGGCUCCGUGGCAAGAACCCCUUUCAUCCUCUUCAUCAGAUCAGAGAGAGAGAGAGAGAGAGAAGAAGGAAAAAAAAAGGCAUAGAGAAAGAGAGAGUGAAGUCGCAGAGAAGACGAAGAAGAAAAAAAAAAAAGGAAACGAGGGGACAGAGAGAAGUCACAGAGAAGAAGAAGGAAGAAGAAAAGAAAAGGGAAAGGAAAAGAAAGGAAAAGGAGGGGAGAGAAAGAGAGAAGUCACAGAGAAGAAGAAUGAAGAAAAGAAAAGAAAAUGGGAAGGUGGGGAGAGAGAGAAAAAGAGAGAGGGAUAAAAAGAAAAAGAAAGACUGAAAAGAGACUGGCUUUAGAAAAAGGGAAAAAUAGAAGAGAGAGGUGAAGUAGGGUUAUGGAAUGGGCUUUGAAAAUAAAAGGUAUAUGGGCUUUACGUUUGGCUUUUUAUUUGGGUUAAGGAGAAUUGGGCUUAAGUAUGAGAUAUUUUAAAAUAAAUAAAUAAAAAAUUAGUACAGCCGAUCUGGUUCGGUCCUGUCUUGUCUUGUAAAAUGUCAAAUCAAAACCAAAAUAGGUUCAAAUUAGUCCGGUUCGGUGUCAAUUUGUUGACUUUUUCAGUCAAUCGAUUUUUUUCUCAGUUUUUUCUAUUUGAUUCGGUUCGGUGUUCCAGUUUUUCGGUCCCGAUGUCCACUCCUACAUAUGGGGAUUGGAACAAAGAGAAGCCUUUGAGUAACUGAAGAAAUUCCUUGCCAAUCCCUAACCCCGACUAUUCCGAAGCGAGGGGAACACUUGUACCUAUAUAUGGCUAUCACCGAAAUCAAGGAAGCUCCAAACUAGACAAGGCUCAAUGGGAGUUUGAUGUAAACGAAUCAUCUAAUCAGGUAGGAGCCGGAGUGGGAGUCGUCCUCUCGUCGCUUGAGGGAGUGGAACUGGAGUACUCGGCCCGAUUAGAUUUCCUAACUUUGAACGAUGUGGCAGAAGACGAAGCCCUAGUGCUAGGACUCCAACUUUUCGAGAUGCUUAGUUCUUCAUAGCAACUCUCACCACAUAGUCGCCCAGACAACCGAGGAAUACACGAUUACGGAUGAACGAAUGAGGGCAUAUCAACGACUGGUAAAGGAUUUAACCAAAGAAUUCGAAAAGAUAAAGUUGAAAUGAAUACCAAGAGAGAUGAACGGUCGGGCAAAUCACUUGGCUUACGUUGCAUCGACAUUGAUUGAGGACAUGAGGGUGACCUCGAUGGAACUUUUAUCGAUUCCCAGCAUACCAAUCGAACCUGGAGUUAUGCAGAUUGAUAUCGAAGAAGAAACAAGGAUAAUUCCAGUCAUAAACUAUCUCACGAAGGGAUCCCAACUCAAUAACCUAAUCGAGGCGAGGAAGUUGCGAAUAAAGGGUACAAGGUAUGCCAUUAUAGAUGACAUGCUCUUUCGUAAAUCCUUUUUAGGGCCGUAUCUUAGAUGCCUCGAUUCGCCUGAAGGUGAAUGGGUGCUAAAGGAAAAACACCAAGGGAUAUGUGGGAACCACACUGGUGGGAGGAGCUUAGCCCACAAAGCGAUGACCUAAGGAUAUUUUUGGCCUUACAUGGCUUGCAAUGCUGAACAAUUUUCACAAAAAUAGGACAAAUGUCAAAGGCAUGCACCCUUUAUCAGACAGCUAGCUGAGAAGCUUAACCUUAUUGUGGGAUCCUGGCGUUUUGCUCGCUAGGGGAUGAAUAUUGUGGGGCCAUUGCCAACUAUAGUAGGAGCAAGAAGUUCAUCCUUUUUGCCACUAAUUUCUUCACUAAGUGGGUGGAAGCUGAGGCUUACAGGAUGGUGACCCAAACAGAUGUGGUAAGAUUCAUAUGAUACAACAUAAUAUGCCAAUUUGGGAUACUGAGAGCCAUCGUGAGAGAUAAUGGAACUCAGUUCAACAAUCACAAAUUCAGAAAUUACUGUGUGAAAAAAAUGGAUCAUUCAACAAUUCUCGUCCCGAAAUUACCCUCAAAGAAAUAGGCAAGCUGAGAAAACUAAUUGCAUGAUCUUUGAUUACUUAAAAAGAAGGUUGGAACAAUGCAAGGGAAAAUGGUCGGAGGAGCUGUCAAAUGUAUUAUGGGCAUAUUGCAUUACCAAAUCAAAACCAACCUGUGAAAGUCCUUUUUCCUUGGCUUAUGGAACUGAAGUCGUCAUCCCCACAUAAAUUGGACUACCCACAGUUAGGACAUUCGUGGUGAAGAGCAGUGAUAAUGAGCAGUAGCUAGCUCACAACUUUGAUAUGCUUAAGAACAGCAAGAAGAUGCGACAUUAUGACUUGCAAACUACCAGAACUAGGCUGCCAAUAAUUUAAUAAACGAGUCCGGCAAAGAAGAUUCAAAGUAGGGGAGUGGGUGCUCAGGAAGGUCAUGGAGAACACCAAGGAUUUGAAUGCAGGAAAAUUUGGACGAACAUGAGAAGGACUGUACGAGGUAAAGGAAGCCUAUGAAAAAGGGGCCUAUAUGCUAAGGCAUAUCGAGAGUGGUCAGUAUUUACCACACCCUUGGAAUGUGACUCAUCUGAGGAAGUAUUACAUUUGAUUUUAUAGUUUUUCAUUUCUUUGUUGCUUGCUAAUUUCGUAUUUUCAAUCAUUUCGGAAUUUUUCCUUAAAUUGUCCAUUGUUCAAUGAACUCUUAAUGGAACACAUAUUUUCUUCACACUCAAACUGUUUGGUCGGAGACCGUGUUUGUUUAAAUUAUAUCCCUUGAAAUAAAUGUGGUCAAAGACCUUGUAUAUAAUAAAAUACAUGUACUAAUCCAUGGACACAAAAUGUGCUUGACCAAAAUCAAAGUCUACCGCAAGCGGCUAAAAGGUGUGAUUGAAGAUCACAAUAAAGAAAUGAUCAGAGAUCACGCAUAAAGACGUGAUUGGAGAUCGUGCAUAAAGACGUUAUUCGAGAUCACAACAUGAUUAGAGAUGAAGCAACAAGAUAGGAACAUGCAUGUGAUAAGGUCGAAGACCACAUGAUCAAACUUAACAAUAAAAUUAGGCUCUUAUGGCCAUACAAGGAAAAACAUGAAAUGUUCACAGGAGGAAGAUCCUUGAAAUUAUUCAAAGUUGGGAAAUACAUAAAAACUACUGACUCUACAGAGUCUGGAAUGAACCUAUAACCAUAAGUAACAUUGGUUAGUCUAAUGGCAAUGGGAGACGAUUCUAAUCCACGGAAGGAUAAACCAUUUUGGCCUUGGCACGGUAGUGGUGGAUACCCUACCUAAAUCCAUCGCAUAUGCCAUCAGAAUGAGUAGUUGACACAACGCGAUCUGCAACAGCAAGAUAACUUUAGAGGCGGGUUACUUAGGCACUGACACAUGCCAGCUCCUCUUUGAGUAGGUCGCGUUCCUCCAACGACAUAUUAUGAUUUAAAAGGCAAAAGUAGCAAGGGACAUGAGAUGGAUGAGCUUCAUCCCACACCUCUCUAAUAAAGCAAGGGUGACCUCGUUUGGGACCUGGACCCACGGAACGAAUCAUGGACCUUUGAAUAAUCUGAAACAUUCGCCAGGGAAUCGAAAGAAGAAUGCCAAGAGCAUAUCUCAAUGACUCAGUUAGGGCUCUUGGGAUCUCUCUUCGGGGACUCCCUCCUCGACGAAGACGAUGACCUCAUUCUCGAAGAAUGUUCUUUUUUUGGAACAUUAGCACAAAGGUAAAGUGGAGUUUCAGCUUGCGCCUCGAGCCAUGUGUGGUUUAGGUAUGUACUCCUAUAAAUCAAAUGACCCUUUUUUAUAGUGACUUACCCAGAGAUGUAGCUAAAUAAGGAAUGCCUGCUAAGGCCUUAAUACGGGGAUGAUAGGAUAUUCGAUCCCUUAUUUUUGAAUUUGAAAAUAGCGAUUCUCCUUAAAAAGACCUUGAGUAUGUUUGGAAGGCUUUAUCCCUUAGCCAGGUUUGAAAAACCAUAGCGCUAGUCUCGAGUAAUUAUCUUUGAGGUAAAAUUUAAAUGAGAAGAAUAACUCAUAAUGUCUAGGAAAGUGAGUUUGAAAUUUUGGGAGCACACCUGCGAUAAUUAAGAACACAAAAAACAAAGAUAAAGCUGAGAGAAAAAUACAACAAGUAUUGAACAAAAAUAAGCCACCUCGGAUGCAUCAUCAAACAGAUCAGGAAUAGCCUCCAAGGUAGGCCCAGCGUAGGUAGAAAAUCUAGCAGGUGAUGUGAGGUGUGUGAAUCUAAGGACGGGGUUAAUGCUGGCAAUGGAGAAUGCAGCAUUAGGAGCGGCGCCAAGGACAUCGAUCCCAACUAACCUAAAAGGGGGACGUCGAUCUAGGAAAAGCUGCUGGUGGAGUCCUACGAUGAAAUAGUUCAUACUUAACGGGAUCAAAUCCCAACUCAUCAUCAUAAUCAUCUGGAUCCUUCCCCUUCCCCCGAAUCGGUGCUUAGGGAGCUGCUAACCUUGGACCCAACCGUAUCUGAAUUGCCUGGCCAUCUCGACCUUGAUUUGCAUAUUGUUGGCAUGAUACUCCAUGUCCAUAUUGCAUGAAGCAUUCACCAGUUCCUGCUUAAGGCGAUCAGUGUAGUGCUUUGGCCACUUCUCAAGCUCUGCAGCUCUCCCCACUACUCUACAAGCUCGGUUUCAUAUUCCUUCUGCGCUUCCCGCUAAGCUCGAAGGUCGCCGUCUUUUUGCAUAUCCUGUGACUCAUAGCCUGGAACCUUCCCAUUUAGGCAUUGCAAAUUCCAACCAUUUGUGAGACAUAAGAAAAUAAGCAUUAGAUAGCUAUUACAGGACAUGACGACUGAACAACAUCCGCACAAACCCUAAACAUUAGCAUAUCGCACUCGUCAGUCAUGGCCAUGAAAUCAUUCUCACCAAGUGAGAUAACAGGAGUUGGAACACAAGGGACUUGCUGAGGUUGAUAGAAAGCAGUACUUGAGGCAGAUGUGGCAUUUGGCGAACUCAAACCCAAGACGACCUAUGGAGCAUGACGGGACUUCUUUUGAACUCGGAUGACUCGAUCUAUUUUCCCUACCGGCCAUGACUGAUAUUGAACUUGGGGCCAACAUAUCUAAAUGAUUAGACUCGGACUCAAAUGCACAGUCCUUGGAGUUGCUAUGUUAAGCUAACUAAGCAUCCCUUUCUUGAAAACUGGCCUGGAUAAGGGACGUCGAAUCCUCAGUGUAACAAAGCUCGAAGUCAACAAAACAAAUGUUCUUGAACAAGUCUACUCCAUGCUGGUUCAAAUUGGCUAGAAUGAAAGGGAAAUAAAUCUUUGUGCAACGUGCAGUGGAGAUAUGGAUAAGAGUCGCAGGGUCCACGAAGCGAGUAAUGUCCCACCGCUGACCUGCCAAGUUCUCCUCCAACCAAGUGACCCGGUCCUCAAGAAUGAUAUACCUCUUAUCUAGAGGAAGCAUUGCCAAGAGAAAAGGUUAGUUAACCCGCGAAAUCACAAUAAAUUAUAUUCAGAAAUACAAGCAUAAAUCAUUAUACUAGGUUUCGACCAAACAUCAAUGAGAUAAGCAUGUGAGACAUCUCAAGCGCCUCCACUCCCUAAUAAUUAAGAGAGGUUGAGUUUUCCAAUACUUGGUGGAAGUUGGUUUACAAGAAAAUAUCUUUUUACCAGACACAUGCAUUAAAAAAAAAAAGUGACUUUCACCCCUGACACAAGCUAAGUCGUGGAGGUAGAUGAAAUCUUUAAAGCUAAGAGACACACCUCACUUCAACCCGACGACCAAAAAAGGGAUAUGAGGAGAUAAGAAUUUGGGUUCAAUUGCAUACGGUGAAGACCCAAGUAGAACAAAAGCAUAUGAAAAAGGGGGUGAAGCAGAAACCUAAUGUACUCUAAAUAGGUCGGCAAAGAAUUAAGGAGCCCUCAGGGAUACCGGUACCAAUAUACAUGUCUGACCCCAAAGGGAGAGGAUCGAUCCCCACAUGUCGGGAACACAUCCUUUGGUGCGAGCCGUGAGCAUCUCGUAGCCCAGUGGGGUACCAUUUGACUUGGGCCAAAUCUCAUGCCUCGACAUGAAAAUAGUAAGAUGGAAAUAAUACUUACUGGAUAAUAGCAAUAACGAGAGCCCUCGUCUGAUCUUGACACAUGUAUUCAGAAGAAUGAAGACAUGAGUAAAGUGAAAGAGAAAGCAUGCGCAUGAACUCGCCCAAAGAAACGAAAGAGUCAUACGGUUUUUCAUACCUCGACAAAUUUUCGGAUGCACAGAAUGCUUUCCCUUCCCUUCAUGCCUUGAGCUUAUCUGUGGAACAAAAGCAAACUAUGAAUGGUUUUGGAGAAUGAAAGAUAUUUUGACCGCCUAACCUUUUAUAGCAGAAGGCACAAGCUUCAGAGGAAAAUAUAUAACAAAAGAAUUACGAGGAGAAGUUCUUUUCAAAAAGAAAGGAAGAGACUUGAUAUGGGCAAAUCAAAUUUAUCAGAUAUUCACCUUAAGCUUACGUGAUAAAGGCCUGGUCUGAUAUGACCAAUCAAUACUAUUUUACCCAUCGCAUGGGCUUCUCUGAUAGAAAGCUACAUGCACUUCUUAGCCAGACAAAAAGGCAAAAGAAUGCAACAGGUUUAAGCAAUAAAUAAUGCCAAAUAAUGAGUACCAUCUACAGAGCUAGGCUGAUUCUCUUUCUCACGCGAAGACUGAGUUUUGGAGCACCUUGGUCCAUCACAUAGAAUCAGCAGGUGGAACUGUAGAGGUGGACCACUUGGGAUCAGCAAAAGAAAGUAGAGAAAAACAAAAAAUACCCAAGCUUGUGGGCCACUCCAUAUCGACUGAAGAGCAAAAUAAAAAAGCCAAAGUGCAUGGUAUAAGCCAUGCCAACAAACCCAAAACGGUAUAAGCCAAAAUGCCAAGAUUCAAUGGCCCACUGGAUUGUGAAGUUUGGAAUUGCAACACUUGGAAUUGCAAAGUGCAUGUUGUAAGCCAAAGCAUAACACUAUGGCCAUGGGAUUGCUAUUUGUCACAUACUAAGGUGAGCUGGCUGAGGUCACAUGGGAUUUGCUGAAGUGCAUUCAAAGAGGCAUUGAGAUAAAAGUUAAGGAUGUUGGGGUCUACUUGUUAUCGGUUGAAGUGAGAAGACGAACCCAAAAAGCUAGAGUCCGCUUGCAUGGAAUUAGCUGAAAUGAGAAGAGAAAGUCCAUAGCAAGCUGGGGCCUAUAGGAUUAGCUGAGGCGCAAAACUCACCUAGGGUCUAAGGGAUCAGCUGAGGCACAAAACUCAAUUGAGGUUCACGGGAUCGACUAAGACACAAAGCUCACUUGGUGUCUAUUUGGGAUCAGCUAGCACAAAAAAGACCCAAAAGCUAGGCCCACUCGGUAUCGGUUGAAGAGCAAAAUAACAAAAGAAGAAAUCCAAAAUUCACUUGGGCUCCACCUUACAAUCCAUUCUUCAAUGUAUUUGAAAUUUAUAGAGAGUGGCAUGUAGUUUUAAUUCAUUCUUGUGGAAUCAUAUUGUUCAUUUCAGCAUAUGAGACCACAACAUGUCAUCGAAUAAUGACAAAAUGGGGGCAAGUGGUCUUUUAUCAUCUCAAAAUAUGGGAUGCAAUUAUGGGCUGAGUUAUGUCCCCAUAAUUGUCGAAAGGAAGGAGAGAAGGACCACCUUAUGUGGGUUUCAGAUGAGAUGUCAAACAUGGCUCAUGUAAAACCUAGUGGGGCCUACCAAGUCAGCUUAAGUGUAGGAAGAGAAGCCAAAGGCGCUAGAGUCCACGAGGUCAGCUGAAGUGCAACAUUGGUUCCACCGGAUUGGCUGGAGUGAGAAAACGAAAAAUUCAAUAGGGGCCACCUUGCAUGGGUUGGGUUGCGAUGUCAACAACGGCUCUUGCAAAACCUCUUGGGGCCCACCGGGUCAGCUUAAGAGCAAGAAGAAAAGCCAAAGGUGUUGGGGUUCAUGGGGUCAGCUGAAGUGCAAAUACUCAUUAGGCUCCACCAGAUAGGCUAGAGUAAAAACAUAAAAAGAAAAAAUCAAAGCUACGGUUUUAUUCCAAAAGAAUAAAUCUAAGUAAAAUUAUUUUUCCCUCUCUCUGCUAGUGUAUUGAGGGAAAAAAGGGGGCAGUAUAGGGGCCAAAAAUGAUAUCCCACGUAACAAUACCCAAAUAACAUGUCAGGAUUACAAGCUAGUGAAGACGUGGGUUAGUUGGACCUCCCUCGCACUAGAAAAGUGGGAGCAAGGAAGGCGUAACUCGAUCAAGCUCCCUAUGACUGUGAAACAGAAGACAUGAUAUGCAAACCUAGGGAGGUGAAGCUUUGGAACGUUAUAAAAGCCCAAUGGAGCCUUAACCAAAGGUACGAGAAAUUCAAUUGACCACUAAGAGUUCACUGCACAAAUAUUGACUUGAGCGUUCGAGUGGCUUUUACAAAUACUCCCUGCAUUUCCAUCAUUCAUUCUCGGAAAACGUAAUCCAGAGUUCCUUUCAACCAAGGAAGUGUGCGAACUUACGUCAAGAACCUGUGGAGGUAUUUCUGGUAAAAAAAAAUCCUGCUCCAAUAGCAAGUGUCGUCAUCUUCAUCCUCGGUGCUGAUACCCUCACUUCAAUGGAGGGCUCCAUCUCAAAACCCAUCAUAUCCUUACUUUCCAUUACAAUUUGUAAAACUUGUAUUAGUAGUUGAUGCUGCUUUCAAUUUCAUCAUCACCAUGAUUGCAGCAAAAGUAGACCAGCAGCUAAGUCUUUUAUCUCUACCUAAUUUGCCUCAUCAACCCAUCAAUCCCUUUCUCUUCUUCUUUAUUCUCUUAAUUCAAAGCUCAUCGCUUUCCCAGCUGCUCAACCGUCAAGAGAAGAAACAGCUUUGAAGUGUCAAUUUAUCCAAGCGCUCUUGAAAAAAUAAAAUAAAAACCCAAAUGCUCGGGACAGAGAAGAGCGCUUGGGGUUCUUCUCUCAAAUGUAGCCUCCUUUGUAUUGGUAAAUCUGCACCCUUCUUUGAAUCAACGGUGCCAUUAUAAGCUUUAAUAAGUAAAGUUUUGAUCUCAUUAACUCUAUGAAUGACAGCCCAACUUUAACAACACUCAAAUUCCAAGUCGUUUCUCACUUGGGUUGUUUGAACCUCUACCAAGUUCUCUUCGUCUCUAUGCCAUCUUCCUCACGAUAUAUAAAUUGAAAAACUUAGAAUGAGUCGAUUUUUCACCAAAAUCAAAGUUGAAAAUCCUAAAUCGUUGUAUAUUUUAGUGAACAUAUUCAAAACCCUCAAUUCUCAUGAACCUUGGACGUGUGCAAAAGACACCAAGGAGAUUGAGGUUGUUCUCUGUCGUGAGCGUUUGCAUUUUUUAAGGGUUUAGAGUAAUUAUAUUUAGUUUAAUAUUUUUAAAUUAAUGAAACUGACGGAAUUGAAACAUUUGACCUUAUUUACUAAUAGUUGCAAAUACAGAUGCUCUAAGUGGGCUGCUAAAAAAAUUCAAUAAAUUGAACUAUUGAACCGAACUUAAAUAAACUGUUGUGCAGCCAUUACAGAUGCUUUAAGUGGGCUGCAUGCGUAUUUAUGGGCUAGCUAAACUUACAAUUACAUUAGAUAAUUAUUAGGAUGGUUAUUGUAAAGAUCAGAUGACUUUAAGUUGUGAACUUCUCUCAAUUGUUGUAAAUUUUUCUAGUUUUAUCACACAAGUGUGUAUUAACUUUUAACAAUAACAACUUAGGCGUGGUGGUGGUCUCAAUGGUGGUGGGGGUUGUCGUAGUUGCAGUGGUUGUGAGGGUAGUGGUGAUGAUGGUGGUGAGGGUGGUGGAGGUGAUGGUAGGGAAGAUUGUGAAGGUGGUAGAGCUAGGGAUGGGGCUCAGGUUUAAUCAAACAAAGUCGUUUUGGCUCAAGCUUUAAAAAAAUAAAAAGAGAACAGCCUCUGUUUUAACAGAGGCAGGCAUCCCGAUAAUCUCCUCCCUUCCCCCAAAUGAGUUUUAGCUCAUUUCUUUAUAUGUCAAGCCCUAAAUCCCCAAAUCCUACAAACCAACUUUCACCCAAUUCGGUGCCAACAACGACAUCCUCAUAGUGGCGACAACAACAAAAUAAAAAAGUCACCCCUAAAUUCAUUUUGAUUUCAAAGGUGGAUAUUGUCCCUAAAUUUGAAAGUAUGUUAUCCUAAUUUCUAAUCUCUUUAUGCUUUAAUUAAUUAAUAAAGAUUCUUAUUUGUUUUUGUUUCUCUUGAUUAAUUGUUUUGUUGGGUUUUUAUUUUGGUUAGUUAGUAUUCAUAAAUUAGGUUUUGUGAUUAAUUUGUAUAUGCUUAGAUUAUAUCUUGGUAAAUUGGAUUAGUUUUUGUGUUUGUUAAUUAAUGAAGAUUCUUAUAUAUUUUUGUUUUAUUAGUUGUUAGGAUUUUAUUUUGGUUAGUUUGAAUAAAUUAGGAAUUUUUUUAAUAGAUUGUAUUUGUUAGUUUGUAUGCUUGUAUCUUCUUGGCAAAUUGGAUUUAUUUUUGUCCAUUCAAUUGUUGGAUUGGUUGUUCAUGCUUUAUUGAUUAUUUCUACCAAUAUAGUUUUUGGAACGAUACUUUAAGAGAAAGUUAUCAUCUACUUCUAGUUUGGAUGGCUUCAUUGAUAAUAUAGGUGAAGCAAAUAGGUCAUUAGGAGAAAUACAAUCUUUUUACUUUGUAUUUUACCUAUUUUUUAUGAGAUCUUUAUUGGGAGCCACAAAUGAUUUGUCACAAGCAUUACAAAGAAAAUACCAAGAUAUUGGGAAUGCAAUGUCUUUAGUCAAAGAUUACAAGGGCGAACUACAAAAAAUGGGAGAUAAUGGGUUUGAAGCCUUUCUUGAUCAAAUAUCUUUCUUUUGUGGCAAACAUAAUAUUGAAGUUCCAAACAUGGAUGAUGCAUAUGUAGCUCAAUGGAGAUCACAUCGUAGAGCUCCUAGAAUAACACAAAUCCAUCAUUAUCGUGUGGACAUCUUUAUUUAAAUCAUUGAGUAGCAACUUGCGGAAUUAGCUUUAAAUUUGUCGGUUGCAACUGCUUUUGUGGAUAGAGCAUUUUUUGCUAUGAAUAUUGUGAAAGGUCCAUUUCGCAACCAAAUGGAAGAACAAUGGUUGAGUAAUAGCUUACUUGUUUAUAUUGAGAAAGAUGUAUUUGCUUGUAUUGAUAAUGAAACUAUAAUGCGAUGUUUUCAGAAUAUGAAAACUCAUCGUGGACAAUUGUAAUGUGGUUUUUUAUAUUAAUUACGAAUUAUGAAUUACCAUUUCAUUUUUAUGAGUUUAUUUUUGUAUAGAAUUUUUUUUAUCCUUUUAGAUGUUGACCCCUGCAAGGAAAAUUCAUGGAUCCGUCUUUGGUUGUGUGCAAGGUGAAUCAGGGGAGGGAGAGAGAGAGAGAAAGGAGAGGGGAGGGGGAGAUUUCGAUGUGGAUGUGGUGGUUUGGAUGGGGAUUUGGAAGAGAGAGGGGUGGUUGGUGGUGGUGACCCUUGGUUUUGUGGGAGCGGAAAGAGAGAUUGAACAAUUAGUUAGCUUAGACCGAAACGGCCCUUCACAUGAGGGGCACAUGUCUAAUAAAUAAUGGAUGUUAGAGGAUUUUGACAUAAAUUGGAUGUUGUCUUCAAAUUGUUUGGAAUUGAAAACCAUAGGGACGAAAUGGACCAAAUUGAAACCAUAGGGACCUUAGUAAUAAAAAUAACAAACCACAGGGACCAAAAAUGACUUUUUGCCUUAAUAAAACAUUUUAUUCUUCUAAAUAGUAGUGGAUUUGAAAAAAAAAAAAGUAGUGAAAUUAUGGUACGGGAUAUUUUUCCGUGAUUUACAUGAGAGCAACUUCAUACUAUUUUGUUAAGGAAAAUUGUAAAUAGCAUAUAAUUACUACAUAUCAUACUUGAAAAAAUGUUUUCUAUCAAAAUUUGACUAAGUAUGAAAAAUGAACUUUUGAAAUACUAAUGUUUUCAAUGAUAUUUUUGGCGGUUUAUUAUCCUUAUAUCUUAAAUAAUCAAACACAAUUUUUAUGAGAUUUUAAUAUAAUGUAUACAUUGACUUAUUAAGGUAUCAAUAUUGGUAUAAAAUGUAUCUUAUACUGAAACUGGAUUUUUAUAUUUUGAUUUGUUGGGAAUUUGAUUUUCUAGUAUUUUUUAUUGAAUCCAAAUGGAGGUACUUUCUUAUUUACAUUGUAAGUUUAAGUAAAUGGAGUAAUAUAAAAAUAAAUUAAAGUAAAAAGACAAGACAUUUAUUUAAAUGUUUAGAAUAAAAAUAAGGCAAUAUAAGGGGAAACAAAAACCAACAAGUUUUACCCAAAAAAAAAAAAACAAAAAAAAACAAGGAGGCAAUGAGCGGGCUUACUUAGGCCUCGACGAGGGCGAGUCGGAUGUUUCAAAACCUAAGUCUAAGCCCUACUCAACCUUAGAACAGAACGAACCUAAUGGACCUAACCAUCGAACCAAAUUAAAUUUUAACCCAUUAAACCUCGGACUACCUACUUCAGCCCACAAACUGCGGCUAAAUAAUGACCCAUAUCUGAAUAGUAGUGAAAUUAUGUUGCGAGAUAUUUGUCCGUUAUUUCCAAUUUCCCUAAUCAACAUGAGAGCAACUUCAUCCUCAUAUUUCACUAUAUUUACGCGGGGAUAGAAAAGUCAUUUGACAAACAUAAUAAUUAUAAUAAACACAAUCAAAUUUAAAAAAUCUUUAAGUCGUCAUGAGAGUCUCGGGUUUCCCUAAGACACUCCCUUUGUUUUAUACAGAAAUCAUUCACUUGAAAAAUGUAACCCAAAAAAAAAGUUUAAUUAAACCAAAUUCAUUGGGUCCCGCCGGAAACAGUGGAAAGAAAAUAAUGAAAGGAAAAUUGGAUGAAAAUUGAAAAACAAAAUUUGGAAAGGGAGAGUCGGGGAAGGAGGAGGUGGAGAGAGAGAGAGAGAGAGAGAGCGCGCGCGAGAGAGCAGAGAUAUCUAUCUGUGUGACUGGUUAUUGGUGGUGGAGUGGCAGUGGAAAGCACAGAGCAUGGGUGAUGGCAGCGCAAGCGGCAACAGAGGCCAUAACAACAACCACAACAGCCAUAGUGGUCAUAGUAAUAAGCCCGAGUGGCUGCAACAGUACGAUCUGAUAGGAAAGAUCGGAGAGGGCACGUACGGCCUCGUCUUCCUUGCCAGGACCAAGUCUCCUCCUAACAACCGCGGCAAAUCCAUCGCCAUCAAGAAAUUCAAGCAGUCCAAGGACGGGGAUGGCGUCUCCCCCACCGCCAUCCGCGAAAUCAUGGUCUUGUUCUUCUUAAUUUCCGUGUUGUUUUUGAAUUCUAGACGUUAAUAUUCGAAAUUUA